GUUCGUUAAGCAGUGAGGGCAGGCAGAGGCUGAAAUCUGCUCCAGAGCUGGUCAGGGAGACGUGAGGUCGCCCUUCCAUGUCUCUGACAUGGGGCUGGUGCGCUGUGUCUGUGAAGCCCCCAGAGACCCUGGUGUGGGAGUGGCCGUGGACUCCAAGCCCUGUAGGCCUUGGGAAAGGGAUCCGUGGGGCCUGAGCCAAACUUAGGUUUCCCCGGUUUCUAUCUGAAUGUUGUGUGGCAUGUUUGAUUUCCCAUCUGAACUGUGUGAUUUGGGGUGUUAUUUCAAGUCAGUUGGUUAGAAAUCUGAAACCGAAAGAGCUAGACCCUUGGCGCAAGCUGGAAGCUCCCUACUGCAGGGGCCAUGUGUGUCCCAGUCUGCCCUGUGCAGGCUGUGUUUGCAGUCCUGAGACACAGAAGGUGUCAGUACUAUUUGUUGACUGCAUUCAUGAGAUGGAUUAUUGGUUGAAACAGAGAAAGUGGACUGAUUAAGCCUGUGGGCCUGAGGGCCUCUACUGUUACAGGAACUGGAUAUUAAAGGAAAAAAAGGGAAAAGAAAAGUAUUAUGCUUUAUGGUCCUCUUAGAUGCAGAAAGAAGAGCCUUUGAUAACUGUGGUUUGUGUGGGCACAUGGUAAUUUAAAGAGGAAGAAGGGAUUGCUGCUCAAAAUAGGGACCAUAGUAAGGAAAGGGUUAAUUCUGGAAUGCUCAGAACUGAAGAGUGAUGGGGAUUUUGAAAUAGUUGGGUUCCUGUGAGAGUAACAGAGCCAGCAUCAUCAGUGUUUUGAUGGGAAACUGGGGGGAGGUGGGGGACAUGCAAAGGUUUAUGUGUAAGGUGCAAGCUCUUGUGUAAUCCAUGCAAAAAAAAAAAAAAAUAGCUCAUUAAGGAUGGCUCAAGAAUUGGUCAUAAAGGGAGGGAAAAGGAAAAGAAUGUUAUUUACACAUUGUGCUUUCUCCCUCCAAGUACUAACCAGCCCGACCCUGCUUAGCUUCCGAGGUCAGCCAAGUUCAGGGUGCUGUGGCCGUGGACAGGAGAUGUACUUUCUGACAGCGCUGCUGUGGUAGCGUGAGCAGUCAGGGCACCCUGAGGUGAUGCGUCUUCACUGAGGUCCUGCACUGUGCUCCCACGGCGAGCGGGGACAGCAGACAGACAUGAGUGAAAUAGCUGGCCUGUUUGAGCAGCUACCCUGUGUCUGGCACUUUCUCAGUGCUUUAGAAUGUGAUAUUUUGUUUAUUCCUCACAGCAGCCCAAUGUAAUUAUCCCCAUUUUAUAGCUGAGGAAGCUGAGGCCUUGGAAGGUCGGGUUACUUGCUGAAUGUCACAGGGUAAAUGAGUUGUGGAGCUGACAUUUGCAACCAGUCUGUGAGUUGACCACUUUGUUGAUGCAGGAGGAAGAAUAUUCUGUUCUAGAGAUACACACAGUUUAGAGGUAGGGGGCACCAGGUGUGAUCACUCAGGAUGUGGGAAUGCACUUGUGUGUAUUUGAACAUGAAAGGGAAUGAGAGGCACAGAGACAGACCUGUGUAACUUUGAAUUUGCAGGAAAGGCCACUUAAGUGUUUAACUGACUGUUUUAUAUUCAUAGACGCCUUUGGAAAUCUGCAGAAGUUUCUGAACCCUCUCCCCAGAAAAAUGUGUAUUUGCAUGUAGUUACAGGAUUGUGGAUGCAACUUUAGAUGGUUUCUGGAACCCCAGUUCAAAUUUGCUCCUAUGGGGAGGAAGAAAAGGGAAGAGCAUCACGGCUGAAGAGAAUAGCAUGAUAAAAGGCCCGGAGGCCUGAAUGGGUGUAGCAGUGAUGGGCUUGGGCCUGAGUGCCCCAGGAGGGGUGGUCCAUGAGCCUGGCGGAUCUGGCAGGGGCCAGGCUGUAGAGGGCCCGCAUGCCCUACCAGGUUUCUGGUUGUGGGUUUCAGGAAAGGGGAUGUGACUCAGCCUGUGUUUUCCAAUCCAGCUCCGCAGGUUCAUGGCAAGUUAGAUGGCUGUUGCAGUACUCCCAUGGGUGAGCCUGAGGUCUACUCUAGGGUGCUCCCAGUGCCGUGGCAGGAGUUUGAGAUAGGAAACCAACAGAACUUGCUGACCUGAUGUGACUUGUGAAAGAGAAGGAGGGAGGGGUUUGGUUUCAGGGUUCCAGUGCUGGAUGAUGGGGAGGAUGGUGGGCUCUUCCACCAGAUGGGAGUAGAGGCAGAAGUAGCAGAUUUGUAGAGUAGAAGGCGAUGAGGAACAGAGUUCUGUCAUGUGCCUGAGGGUACCAGGUGCCCCUCUGAAUGACUCUAUGGAGCUGCAAAUUCAUGCCUGGAGCUGGGGUGGUUGGGAAUGCAGGGGUAGCUUGAGGACUCCCACCAGAGAUGUGAUCCCUAAAAGCUGUGAGUUUGGAUGAUACAGUUCCCAGUAUCUCCAGCAGAAGUGGCUUGGGCUUAAAAUGGAAUGGCUGUAGCCGUGGGAGAGCAAACAGAUGGCCAUUUUCAGAAAAAGUGAGAUGGGUCAGUGGCUCCCAGCCCUGACCAUCAUCAACAGAAACCCUGGAGGAGCUGGGAAGAAAAAGACCAAAUACUGACUCAACCUCUCUGGGAGUGUGGUCCCUGGGCAUCUGUGUUUUAGAAAGCUCCCUGAGUCACAUGGUGAUCAGCUAGGUUUGAGAUCCACUGGGCUGCUGGGCUGCAGCCUGAGUCUCAGAAGAUAGGACCACACCUUUAGGGUUGACACAAGAAACAGAUGAACAGGAAGUGACACUGGCAUUGGGAGUGGCCCUUAAAACGUUGGGGCGCGUGGUGUUCUGACCAUUUGCCUGGUGAUUCAGUUUGUUCUCCCUCUCUACUGAGAGGAAACUUUCCCUGCACCCAGUCUUUGGAGAGGUUGGCUGUGCAUGGUUCGAGACAUGGUGUCUUGAAGGGCAUAACAAGUUAAGGGCACACUUGGCAGGGACAGGGCAGGGGAGAGACUUGGCCGUUGGGUUAGGCAGGGAGAAGAAUUUGUGAGUUGCAGCAAACAGAUAAGACUUUAAAGGCAGGGGGCCAUCUUUGGUGUGUAAUGGCAGAUGGGUAGAAGGUGGAGAAGGGGGCCUAGUGAUUGUCUUCUUCAGAUGAAGAUGAAGUCCUUGUGGGCCGAGAUGGGGUUGUUGGCUUUUGAAAAAUAGAGCAGGCUCAGUACGACAUUACAGAGGAAUGGGCCUCGAUGGACAGGGGAGAACAGACUUGCAGAGCAGUGAAGGGCCCAAGAGAAGUUGGAGAGCAUUAUUGAUUUUAUUUUUUUAAUUGUAAUUUUUAUUGAGCUAAUUGUAGAUUCACUUGUGGGUUUUAGAAAUAAUAGACAGAGACCUUUCAUAUACUUUGCUCAUUUCCUUGGCCUCCAAGGGUUAGGUUCUUUAAACAGUAGUGUCAUGUGAUCACCGGAUGCCAACAUAGCUCACUGAACAUGUUCAGACUUCCCCAGUUUGACUUGCCCGUGUGUGUGUGUGUGUGUGUGUGUGUUCGUGUACAGGAUCCUCCUGGUGUCAGCUCAUGUGUCCACCAUGGGACAGUUGCCUGGUGUUGCCCUUUUAGAAUCAUAAUACUCUGCACCCCCAACACUCACCUUUUCCCUGAUUCCUGGCAACCACUAAUUUAACUUCAGUGUUAAAAUUUCGUCAUUUCAAACAUGUUCUAUAUAAAUGGAUCCACACUAAAUAAAAUGUUUUUGGAUUGGAUUUUUUUGCUCAGCAUACUUCUCUGGGGAUUCAUCCAAGUUGCUAUGUAUCAGGUUUUUUUUCCUUUUUAUUGUUGAGUAAUAUUCAGUGGUUUAUAUGUACCAUACUUUAACUAUUUAUUUAUUGACAGGCAGAGUUAGACAGUGAGAGAGAGAGAGAGACAGAGAGAAAGGUCUUCCUUUUUCCAUUGGUUCACCCCCCAAGUGGCCGCUGCACAAAUCCAGAGCCAGGAGCCAGGUACUUCUCCUGGUCUCCCAUGGGGUGCAGGGCCCAAGCACUUGGGCCAUUCUCCACUGCACUCCCUGGCCACAGCAGAGAGCUGGCCUGGAAGAGGGGCAACCGGGACAGAAUCCGGCGCCCCGACUGGGACUAGAACCUGGUGUGCUGGCGCCGCAGGUGGAGGAUUAGCCUAGUGAGCCGCAGAGCCGGCCUAAUACUUCAACUCUUUACCCAUUAGAGGGCCUCUGGGCUGAUCCAGUUUUUGACCAUGGCAGAUCUGCUUUAAACAUUUGCUAUAGGUUUUUAUGUGAACCUAAAUUUCCGUUUCUGUGUGAUAAAGUGGCCAGGAGUGUAAUUGCCAGAUCUUAAGACCUUUGCACAUUUAUUUAUUUAUUAACUUCCUAGUUGUUUUCCGGAGUGGCUGUACCAUUUAGCUUCACCUGCAACCUAGUUUUUUGGUUUCCUUGCUUGUUACCAUUCAUUUUUGCCAUCCUGGGGCAGGUGUUGUGGCACAGCAGCUAAGCUGCCAGUUGGAAUGCCCGUAUUCCAAGUCAGAGUGUGUGGAUUCAGGUCUAGGCCACUCCACAUUUGCCGCAGUGUCCUGCUGAUGUACCUGGGAGGCAAUAGGUGAUGCCAUGGUUGGGUCCCUGCCAUGUACAGGGGAGACGCAGAUGGAGUUCCAGGCUCCUGCCUUCCACAUGGCCUAGCCCCAGCUUGUGUGGGCAUUUGGAAGUGAACCAGUAAUAGAACAUCUCUCUUCCUCUGCCACUACACUUUUCAAAUAAGUUUUAAAAAAUAAAACUUAUUUUAGCCAUUCAUACAGGCAUGUAUCAGUAUCUCAUGUGAUUUUGGUUUGCACUUCCCUAUGACUACUGAUAUUAGACAUCUUUUCUGAUGCUUAUUUGCCAUUUGUGAAAUGUCUCUUUGUAACUUCUGUCCCUUUUUAAUUGGAGAAUAGUAUUUAUAUCGAGAAUUCUUUAUAAUAAAGAAUUAUAAUUCUAAAUUUCUAAAUUCUAAAUUUAAAAUUUCUAAAUAUUCUUUAUAAUAAAGAAUUCUCAAUAUAAGUACUUUAUUGGUUAUGUGGUUUGCAAGUAUUUCUCCUUGUUUAUAGUUUAUCUUUUGGUCCUCUUCACUUGGGUAAAAGCAAAAGAAAUUCGAGGAGAACAAAAUUUUAACAGAGCAAAAGUUUGAAUUUUUGAUGAGGUUCAGCUUGUUAGUUUUCCCUUUUGUGGAUUAUGCUUCUGGUGUCAAGUCUAAGAACUCAUUGCCUAGCCCUAGGUUCUGAAGAUUUUUCUUUUAUGUUUUAUUCUAAACUUUUUAUAGCUUUUGUUUUCACAUGCUGUCCUUUUCCUCACCAGAGAGUUUUUGGGUUUUCUGUGUUUUGCCAGCUGUCGGGGCUCAGGCGCUAACGAGGGCCUGGUUCUAUGAGUGUAGGUUGGGAAAGGCACAAGGGGAAGCUGGAGGGGCAGGUCAGCACGUGGGCGUGCUGUGCAAUGGCCCUGCCGAGCGUAGGACAGGAGGCCGUGGCCAUGCACGGAGGAGGCAGCAUCUGAGACUGCAGGUGGAGAGAUUCCAAGCCAGGAGUUUCGAGGUGUGGCCCUGAAUGCAGUCAACCCUGAAUGUGGGCCGUGGCCUCUGGUGGUGCGGAAGUACAGCAUUGGGAGGCUUAUCAGCAGUGGGUUGAUUAAUCACCUCACGCCCAGGCUCACGGUGGUAGUAGAGUGUGAGUUUGUAAAUAAGGUGCCAGAGUAACCCAGGUAUGAGAGGCAUUUGUUUGGGAAGGACAGGACUUGAUGGAUCUGAGGGUAAUGUGAGUGAGUGGAAGGGACCUAGGAUGGCAGAUGGCAGAAUGGUGGGGUAGAAAGAGCACGGGGAUCAAAAGAAAAUGCUCACAUUCCCUGGUUUCCUCUUCUCAAACUCUCGGGCUGGUCCCAAACAAUGCUUAUUCGUGAGCUGUCGUUGGCCAGCCGCGGACGCUCAUUGUACCUUGCCAUCUGCAGCGCAGUGGAGUAAGCAAAUCACCAUAUUUCUCCCUACCUCUCAGCAGUGUAGAAUGAAAGUGCAGUUAGGCAUGAGAGAGUACUUUGGACUGGAUUCUAAAAAUAAUGCCUUGGGGAGGUCAAGCCUGUUCAGGGCCUGUAGGAAAGGUAAGAAAAUAGAUUUUUGAACCACCCAGCAAGGUGUAAGCUUUCUAGCUUCCUUUGAGGAGUAUUUGGUUAAGGGAAUGAUUGAAAUGAGCUCUCUUUUUUGGGGGGUUUCUGCCAUAGAGAGGGGAGAUCCAGAGCAGACUUUUACAGGUCAGAGUCACAAAUGAUGGAAAUGACCAAUGGGAGCCUGUUGCUGGGCAGAGGCUGUUCAGGCCCGCUGCAGUGGCUCUGUGCAGCAUCCCAGGGAAGAAUGGAGAGGACGGACUUCUGUGUUAGCACAGCCCAGGGCUCUGACGUGGGCUCGCUGUUUCCCCAGCCGUCCACCCUCCUUCUGGAGCCUCAAGUCCUUGCUCCUCUCUGGCUGUGGCUUUUCGUUUCCCCGAGAGCGUGUCUCCAUUAUUAUAGCUAUUUAUUUGUAUCCCAUUCCAUUGAUAGUAAAGGCUUAAAGGGCCCCCUCCCUUGCAAAUUAUUAACAUGAUGGUAAUGUUCUUUUGGUAUUUAAGGGGCUGUGUUAGAGAACAUUCAACUCAGUAAACUUGUGUAGAUAAAUGUAUCAUGUGGGUAGGAGCGCAGGAAAAACGUGGAGGAAAUUAAAGUAUACGAACAGUGAAUGCCACAGGGAAAUGGGGUUAUUGGAAACUCGCUGCUUUUCUGUUACAGGUUUCUGUAUUAAUUGGAUUUUUUAAAAUAGUGAACAUAUGUUACUUUCAUAAUCACAGGGAAGAGGAAAAUUAUAUCACGUUUAUUUUCCUCUCUGAUUCUGGAUAGGGAGUACUCAUUAAAGAAAACUGUGGAAAAAGGCUGGAAUUAGAAAGCAAGCCACAUUGCCUGAGUCCAUCGUGGUGUGAUAAUCACACCAAAGGGCGACCGUGGGCAGGAGGGCGGGGUCUGGAAAGCAGUUCUUCCUUCCCUGUGUGGGUGGCUGGGGUGCUGAGCUUGGGGGACAGGUGGCCAGAGAGUGGCCCUGCAUGGCGGACAAGCAGAACAGGGCGUUCUUAUUAUAGGCUUGAGGACAUCGGUCCUGGAGUCCAACAGGUGCCCUGGCCACUUGGGUCUGUCAGUCAGCUGUCCCGACUAACAGGCGUGUUAUUGUGACAUCGUGUGUCAUGGUGAAGCGGCGGUGGGAGAAGAGGAAAACGUUCCCAUCCAUCCUCCCCAUGCGCAUGGGCUCAGAGCACAAAACAGCGAACAGGACCCGCGCUGCACGCCACAGUGGCCCUGGUUUAUUCCUGGGGCAUGGGGCCUCUCUUGUUUUGACGACCACUUUGCUUUCUGUAGCUGUCCUUCCUUUGGGGAGGGGAGGAGUGGUUACUGGAUGAAGACACUCAGGGGGCUUUGCCAUGUGCUGCGCAUUUGCUGGUAGAGCGUCCUUGUGUUUCUUCACCGUGUGUUUCAUUGGCUUCGUGUUCACCUGCCAGGCACACCCUGCAGGUUAUUCUCUCUGCCCACCUUCCCUUCCUCCAAGGACCCCAAGUGCAGAGCCUUAGUAAAGUCACAGUUGUUCUCGAAAGCCUGUAUGGAUAUUAAUCCUGUAGAGCCUCUUCCUCUCACAGUGCAGUCCCUUCUCCCUCCUGGCAUCUGAGAGGUGUGACAGCCACUGUGAAACCUAGUGCAAUGUACGUGAAGAUUUAUUUUGUAAAAUGUUGCAGCAUUUGUUUGUUUUUUCUUUUUUGCAGGCAGUGAAUCUGGUCAUUAGAUGAGAAUUUCCGUAGGACAUUGUUCCUUUCACAGAAGCCCAAGGAAGCUGUGGGCUGCCUGGGAAGAAGCUGCUCUGGGGAGAAUGUGAUGGAGGGCACUGAAGCCUUCCAGUUUUAGCAGCUUCCCAGGCUGAUGUUUAGCAUAUGUUAAUAAGCUGAGUUUUUCCAGCCCCUUGCAGAGGUCUCAGUCCCUCACCCCAUGCCUGCCCUCUUCCCCAUGCAGCCCCGUGACUCACUUGCUAUUGUGUCAGGUUGGGCUUUGACGACUGUCUCAGAUGAAUGGGUGUGUUGCAAGCAUGAUGGCUUUGUGGUGGCUUCCGUGACAGCUUAGAAGAGAUUGCUGUUUACAGUGGCUGUUAUUGAGAGAGGUUUGGUGCACGUUAAUGUCCUGAUAAAGACAUUUGUACCUAUAAAGUAGUCACAGCCUGAAACACAUUGGACUGUGAAUCAGGUCGUGGGGUGAUGACAUGCCAGAUGUGAGGUAUCGGAUUGCGUGUUUAUUCAACUGUUACUGCAGUCGCUGCGCGAAGAUGUGCCCUUGUAUUUGCUGUCUCACGGCAACACACAACAGGCAGUGGCGAUACGAUCCUGAUUAUGAAAGAUGCUAUUUAGGUUACUUGGAUCGUAAACCACGUGUACUAGGAAGCAUUCUCUCAGUCCCCAUAUGUCCUUAGACAGCAACCACGAGCAGUUGUUAGAAGGGACUUGUCUCUUGCGCUGGACACAUGCAUCGUAAUGGGGGCCUUUUGAGCUGUGCCAGUGUUAGUGAGACCCAGCUGGGCCGGGGCAGGUGGUGUGAAGGGUGCGACGCGAUAGUGACAGCCGUUGACCUAGUGCUUAUGGUGUGCGCGAUACUGUUCUAAACGCACAACAGGGACCUGUUUAAGCCUCAUUACAACUCUCGUGAAUGUCUACUAUUACCAUUCUUGUAUUACAGUUGAGGAGACCACAGCCCAGAGAGGUUUAGUGAAUUGCCAGUGGUCGCUCAGCUGGUCAGCUGCUAGAGGCAGGAUAUGAACCCCAGUCUGUUGGGCUCCAGAGUCUGAGCUCCUAACCACUACCCUCCGCUGUCUCUGAGAUCUCUGCUGGAACUCGCACCUCCGAGUCCCGGAACUGUGUCCCCAGUGCUGCCCAGGACCAGCAUGGAAGAGGGUUUCAGUACAAGGUAAACCUUGGAGAAGGGGACCCGGUUUCCUGGUGUCUUUGGUGCUCCACAUCCUGUCUUCUAGCCUCCUGCUUGUCCUUCAAGACCUUGCAAGAAAACCCCCAUCCCUUCUGACGCCUGCCUUAAUCUCCAGGGGCAGAGCAGGUUGGCCCCUCUCUGUGUUCCUGUAGCACGUUAUGUAACUGGUGCUUGUCAGACUCAUUUUUUCCUUUAUAACUAUAGAAAGAAGAGACUCAGGUGUCACUGUGUGUGUCCCCAUCUCCCCACUCCCACAGAGAGCUCGUCCAGUACAGCUAUUGUGGCUUCUCCGAAUCUGCAGCAACCAUCAUAGUACCUGGCACAUGUUAGUCCCGCAAAAGAUGUUUGGAUGAGCGAAAGCCGUUGAUUGUGUGGACCAUCCUUAUCUCUAGAAGGUUAUCUUUCCCACAUUCUACCCUCUUGUUGUAUUUACAACAUUCUUAUGAAGGCAGCGGUUUUCAUUUCAUAGGCACAGAGUCCAGGAUGCUCUUCCUUAGAUGAUCUUAUUUUGGGGAAUCUCCUGGUAAAGCAAACCUCAAGGAAGAACCAGCAGCCCCCCACUUGCAUGUGGACUCUUCUCCAUUUCAGCUCAGCAGCCCUACACCGGAGAUGUUGUGAACAAGGGCAGUUUAUUAGCAGUGGUAAAGCAUACCCCCAGGAUCUUCCUAGUACAUACCUGACAAUGUAUAUGGAAGCUUAUUUAGGGUGUUUCUAAAUGUGUGCGUGUACACACAUUGCUUUUGGCUUGUUGACCUUGGGUUUAGUUUUUUACUUAAAAACUUUUCAUUUGUUUAAUAAUGUACAUGAUUCUGUUCAUUUUCUUGAGAGAGUUUGCUCACUCACUUGUAGCCACUUGUUACUCUUCAAAUGCCUACCAGCGGUUGAGGAGGGUGGGAGGAGAGAUGGGGGUGAGACUUGGAGCUGGGAACUCAGUUCAUGUCUCCUACUUGGGUGGUAGGAACUCAGUGACUUCAGCUAUCACUGCUGCUUCCCAGGGUCCUCAUUAGCAGGAAGCUGGACUCAGGAGCCAGAAACUGGUUUCAAACCCAGGCACCCUGGGCCAGCACUGUGGCGCAGUGGGUUAACGCCUUAGGCCUGAAGUGCUGGCAUCCCAUAUGGACGCCAGUUCGAGACCCGGCUGCUCCACUUCCUGUCUAGCACUCUGCUAUGGCUCAGGAAAGCAGUGGAAGAUGGCCCAAUUCCUUGGGCCCCUGCACCCACAUGGGAGACCGGGAAGAGGCUCUUGGCUCCUGGCUUCGGAUCGGCGCAGCUCCGGCCAUUGUGGCCAUCUGGGGAGUGAACUAUCGGAUGGAAGACUUCUCCCUUUCUCUCUCUCUCUCUCUCUCUCUAACUCUUUCAAAUAAAUAAAUAAACAAAUAAAUAAAUCUUUAAAAAAAAAAAAAAAAACCAGGCACCCCAAUGUCGGAUUUGGACAUCUAAACCGAUGGCUGUGUCACUAGUCCAAAUGUUUGCCUGAAGAUUUUGUUGUAAUUGUCUGAAAAUCACUUUUGCCACUGAUUGUUCCAAGAUGACAUUGUUGAUACAGAAUGAUUCACUUAAGUGGAGCAAUGAGCUAAGUGAACUCUUAUUGUGGACUUGAACAAGGUGUGGAGUUACGGUUAGUUCCCAGGCUGCAAAGUCUGGUUAGCAAACUGGCCAACUUAUAGAGGGUUUGUCAGCUAGCUCCUAGGAAUAAGUUCAUCCUGGUGGUAAAGGACAUAGGAUCAGGAGUGAGAUUGCCUGGUUUUAAAUUCUGACUCUGCUGCUUUAUUGGCUGUGCCAUCAUGGGCAUCUUAACAUUCCUGGACCUCUGUUUCCUCAUCUCAAAGGUGGGGCUAAUACUGGUGCUGAUCUCACAAGUGCGGUGUGAGGAUUAAAUAAAAACACGUUCAAAAUACUUAGCAUACACAGUUCCUUCUUUGGGAGCGGUAUUACCCUGAUAACAAAACCAGACAAAGAUGUCACAAGGAAAUUAAAAAACAAAACAACAGCAACAAAAACUGUAGACCAGUGGCGCUUAUGAAGAUAGAUGUAGAAGUUCUCAACAAAAAACUAACAAACCACAUCCAACAACAUGUAAAAAGGAUUUUGGACCAUGACCAAGUGGGAUUUAGCCCAGCUGUGCAAGAUUGGCUUAGCAUCAGAAAAUCAAUUAAUGUAAUAAACUAUCAAUCGAAUAAAAACAAAAACCAUAUUAACAUCUCAAUAGUUGCAGAGAAAGCAUUUGAUCAAACACCUCUUCAUAAUACAAGUAUGCAUCAAAGUAGAACUAGAAGGUGGCUUCUCACUGGACACAGGGCAUUUAUGAAGAACUUACAAGUACCAUCAUACUUGUGAGAAACGACUAGAUGCUUUCCACCCAAGAUCACGAAUAAGACAAGGAGGUCUGUUUUCACUCCAGUUGAACAUGCCGGAUGUUCUUGUUGGAGCAGUUGGUGAAGAAAAUGAAAUAAAAAGUACCUAGAUUGGAAGGACAGAAACUGUCUCUACUUGAUCUAGCAUAUAGCCAAAAAUGAAGGUGAGACACAAAACGGUUAGAGUUUAUAAACACUUGAAGCAAGGUUUCAACAAAGAAGAACAGAUUAUCUAGAAAUCUAUCAUAUUAGUAUACCUGACAAUGAACAGUCUGAAAAUGAAGUUAAGAAAGCAGUUCUGGGGCUGGGUUAAAGUCCUGGCCUGCAGCACCAGCAUCCCAUAAGGGCGCCAGUUCAACGCCCGGCUGCUCCACUUCCAAUACAGCUCUUGCUAUGGCCUGAGAAAGCAGUAGAAGAUGGCUCAAGUCCUUGGGCCCUGCACCCGCGUUGGAGACCUGGAGGAAGCUCCUGGCUCCUGGCUCCUGGCUCCUGGCUUUGGAUUGGCACAGCUCUGGCUGUUGUGGCUAACUGUGGAGUGAACCAGCGGAUGGAGGACUUUCUCUUUCUCUCUCUCUCUCUCUCUCUCUCUCUCUGCUUCUCCUCUUUCUGUGUAACUCUGACUUUCAGGUAAAUAAAUAAAUCUUAAAAAAAAAGGAACAAUAUAUUAAGGAAUAAAUGUAAGAAAAGAGCAGAGCCGGCGCCAUGGCUCACUAGGCUAAUCCUCUGCCUUGUGGCACCGGCACACCGGGUUCUAGUUCCCGUUGCCCCUCUUCCAGGCCCGCUCUCUGCUGUGGCCCGGGAGUGUAGUGGAGGAUGACCCAAGUGCAUAGGCCCUGCACCCGCAUGGGAGACCAGGAGAAGCACCUGGCUCCUGCCAUCGGAUCAGCGCGGUGUGCCGGCCAUGGUGCACCAGCCGCGGUGGCCAUUGGAGGGUGAACCAACGGCAAAGGAAGACCUUUCUCCCUGUCUCUCUCUCUCACUGUCCACUCUGCCUGUCAAAAAAAAAAAAAACAAAAACAAAAACAAAAACAAAACAGACAUUUUAUCCCCAAAAUUUAAAAAGAAAGUUGAAAGAAAUGUAUACAUAUGUAAAUUAGUUGAAAAGCAUUCUGUGUUCUUGGAUUCGAAGACUUAAAAUUAAGAUGGCAGUAACCCCAAGUUGUCUACAGAUUCAAUGUGAUUCCUAUCAAAAUCCCAGCUGAAUUCUUUGACAGGCUGAUUGUACAAUGCAUAUAAACAUUCAGGGGACCCAGAGCAGCCAAAAUAAUCUGAUAAAGAACAGCAAGGCUGGCACCAUAGCUCAAUAGGUUAAUCCUCCGCCUGUGGCACCGGCACACCGGGUUCUAGUCCCGGUUGUCCCUCUUCCAGGCCAGCUCUCUGCUGUGGCCCGGGAGUGCAGAGGAGGAUGGCCCAAGUGCUUGGGCCCUGCACCCCAUGGGAGACCAGGAGAAAGCACCUGGCUCCUGGCUUUGGAUCGGCGCAGUACGCCAGCCAUAGCAACCAUUUAGGGCGUGAACCGACGGAAGGAAGACCUUUCUCUCUGUCUCUCUCUCUCACUGUCCAUUCUGCCUGUCAAAAAAAAAAAAAAAAAAAAAAAAAGCAAAGUUGGAGGACUCGGACUUCUGAUUUCAAUACUUAAUACAAAGCCAUCGUCUGAAUCAAGACAGUGUUGUACUGGCAUAAGUUAAACAUGUACAUCAGUGGAAUAGAGGGUUUUACACUUGUUCUCAAUUGAUUGCCAGCAAAUGUACCAUGAUAAUAGUCUUUUCAGCCAUGGUGGUGAGACUGGAUAUUCAUAUGCAAAGAAUCCAGUUGGACCAGUCCUCAUAUGACAUGCCAUAUUAACUAAAAAAAAAAAAAGCAGAUGUAAAUGUAAGAGCCCAAAUUACACAAUUGCAGAAAAAAAUACAGGAAUAAAUCUGUCUAAUCUUGGAUUAGGCAAAAUCUUCUUAAAUAUGUUACCAAAGUAUAAGUGAUGAAAAUAAAAAUAGAUAAAAUGGUGCUUCAUUAACAUUGUAAACUUCUGUGCUUCAAAGAAAACGAAAAGGCACCCAGAGAAUAAGAGAAACAAUUUUCUGAUCACAAAUUGGAUAAACAACUUGUAUCUGGAAUGUAUUAAAAACUUUUAUCACUCUUGAUUAAAAAAGGAAAAUAAUCCAAUUAAAAAGUAGGCAAAGGAUCUGAAUAGACAUUUCUUCAAAGAAAUACACAAAUAAUCAAAAGCCCAAAGAUGUUCUGAAUCAUUGGUCAUCAGGGAAAUAUAAAUUAAAGCCACAAUGAGAGACACCACUUUGUAUUUGCUAGGAUAGUUAUAAUAAGGAAGAUACAUGAUAAUGAGUGUUGGCAAGGGGAAAUGAGAACCCCCUCAUAAUGUUGCUUGUGGGAAUAUAAAAUGGUUAUAGACACUGUGGAAAACAGCCUGGCAGCUCUUCAAAAGGUUCAAUGUAGAGUUACCCCAAAACUGCAGUUUGACACCUAGGAAUAUAGUGAGAAAUCAGAGCAGAUAUCUAUAUAGAAACUUUUAUAGUGUCCUUUUUCAUAAGCCCAAAAUGUGGAAGCAACUGAAAUAUCCAUCAACUCAUAUACAUGGGUGAAUAAAAUACAGUAUAUCUAUAUAGGGUAGUAUUAUUUAGCAAUAAAAAUUACGUACUAGUGCAUGCUACAGUAUGAUUCACUCUCGGAAACAUUUUCCCAAUAUAAAGAAGAUAAUUACAAAAGACCAUGUAUUGUGUGAUUCUGUCUCCAUGGAAUUCCCAAAAUAGGCCAGUCUAUAGGGACAUGAAUAGAUUAGUGGUUACCAGAGACUGAGAGAUUUGAGAGAAAAGAGGAAUGAUUAUAAAGGAUAUGGGAAAAUAGGCAUGUUCUGAAACUGGUUGCAAAGCUCAGUGGAUAUGCAACAAACCGUUGAGUUAUACACUCGAGUUUUAUGAUGUAUGAAUUAUAGCUGAAUCAAGCUGGUGUACAUACGUAUCUGCUUAGCAUCAUGCCAGGCUGGUUAGAAGUGGCCAGUAAGUUUUUUUUUUUUAAAGAUUUAUUUAUUUAUUUGAAAGUCAGAGUUACACAGAGAGAGGAGAGGCAGAGAGAGAGAGAGGUCUUCCAUCCACUGGUUCACUCCCCAUUUGGCCACAAUGGCUAGAGCUGUGCCGAUCUGAAGCACAAAGACCUCUCUCAUGUCCCUCUGACAGCAAAGGCAGUUUGUUCUAGGCCUAAUCACUGGGCUCACCUGCCUGUCGGAGAUAGGCAGUAUGGAGGAGGGAGAAGGUUGAAGGAAGAGAGAUAUGAAAACCAGGGCAAGCAGGAAGAGUCCCUGUGUGGGACUCCGGCUCAGCCUGUGUAAGCGUCUUAGGGAGCAUUGUAUGUGUCACGUGCCAACCCCCCAAAUGCAGGAGCAGUGGAGCCUGGACUCAGGUGCCCCUGCUGUCCUGAAGUGUGCCCAAGCAUUAAGUUUGUCUCUUGGCAGUGUGUUGAUUGCGGUGAGGAGGCUUUUCUGGUCGGUUCCAGGAGGUGCUGACUGUUCUGGCAUGCUCCACUCUGUGGCCUCCUGGGCUGUGUUAACAGAGCCCCUUCUUUUCGGACUGGUCUGCUGUGGAGGUGUGGUGUUAUCUUUCCAGCUUCUCUGAGUACCCUUGGCUUCUGCCACACUGUUCACUGUCGCCCCAGUAGCUGAGGGGCACAGCCUUGCAGGGCUGUGAACAAAGGCGACAGACUGCCCACAGCACCCGGCCCUGACAGCCAUGUCGGCGUGUGGAGAGCUUGGCGAGUCAUCAGCUCCAGCUUGCUCUCCUGUGUGGAGAAAACCCAGAGACACAGGCGUGACCUGUCAGGAGGAGCAGGGCCUGCCCUGUCCGUGCGGCUGAUCAAAGCCUGACUCCAGUCAUUUGGCUCCCUAAUGUGGGGAUGUUUCUGAGCCAGGGCCUGGGACGUGUAGGCCUGCAUGUGCUCUGUGGGGGCUGGGGUGGGAGGAGGCGAGCACUCUUGCAGCUGCUCUCUCAGAAUUCAGAGCUGGCGGGAUCUGGAGAGAUCAGCGCAGCCUCCUCACUUUUCAGAUUGGAAGCUGCUGCCCAGAGUUGCCCUUUGCCUGGUUCCAGUUCCGGGGGUGAGUUGGCCCAGCUUGGUCACAGCUGCUCCUCUGCGGCUGUUCCCUCCCAUCGCACUGGUCCUGUGCUCCGGGGCAUGGAGGUCGUUCCGAGUGUGGCUGUGCCUUGCAGGACCAUAUAGUUGCAACAUCCAAACUCAGACACUUGGGAGAACAGACAGAGCAAUGUUAAUAAUGACACCAGGAAAGCAGGAUUAAACUAGGGACUGCAACACAUGGUCUUGCUACCUCCACCCUCAUCAAGGGUCCCUCCCUCCCUCGUAGCCUCCAGGUCUUGUGACUCGCAUGAUGUCUUAGGGAACUUACAGGAACGUAAGGACUUGCCUGGUCCCAUGAGGUUUGGUCAGUGGAGCAGAGUGUGUAGGGGUCUCCCUUGUUGGAAGACCUGGGAGAGGGAAGCCUAGGAGGAUCUGUGGGGCGUGUACCUCUCACGGUGCCUGACUGUGCAGGACCUCCAUACAGGAGCUUUCAUCUGCAGUGGAUGCGUGCCUGUGUCAUCAUUGCUCUUGUCUGUCCUAGGCAUCCACCCAGCCUUCUCUUGGCCUGCUGGUACCGGCGGCAUCAUGAAGAGAUGCAUAUUCCCCUGAGAACCUGUGGCCUUCCAUAGAGCUCAGAACCCCACUUGGGCUGUUUCUCCAGUGUGUGUGGUUUCUGCAUUCACAGCAGGAAGUGGGAGAGGACCUGAGCUUUGCAGAGAUCAGGCCAAGUGGGGUUCUAGGCGGGGAAGGGACUCCUUUCUGCGAGUGGAGCAGGUGGAGACCAGGGCCCUGCCUGGUAACUUUCUCAGCCCGCACCUACCUGCAUUUUUAUCCAGAGCUAACUGAAUCCAGACCACCAGGGCUCCUCCGAGAUCAAGAUCUGAGGAGGGCACUGGGCCUUCUGUCGCCCCUGUGUGACCUAUUCCUGGAGUUAGGAGUGGAGUUGCCAGAUUUAGUGAAAAAAAUAUGGAAUGUCCAGUUAACCUUGAAUUGCAGAUGAAGAAUAAUUUUUUAGCACAUUCAAUCUGCAAAGUGUGCACUUGUAAAGUUCCAAGUAGAUGCCUGAAGCUGCAGAAAGUACUGAACCCUAUACAUUGCUUUUUUCUGUAUGUACAUAUCUAUAAUAAAGUUUAAUUGAUACAUUAGGCACAGUAGGAGAUUAACAACAGUACUUAUAAUAGAGCAAUUUGGGAACAGGCAUUUAACUUAGCAGUUAAGAUGCCCGUGUCUCACAUUGGAGUGCCUAGGAGUGAUUCCUGGCUCUGGCUGCUACUCCAUCUUCUUGCUAGUACAUGUCUUGGGGGGCGGCAGAGGUGGCUCAGAUAGUUGGGUUCCUGCAUCUGACAUGUUAAGUUCCUGGCUCCUAGCUCCAGUCCUAUCCAUUGUGAGCAUCUGGAGAAUGAACCAGUGGAUGGGAAAAUCUCUUCCCCUCUUAAACAAAAAGAUUAAAAAUAAACACUAGAGAAAAUCAUUAUAACAAUUUACUAUAGCAGAUGUUAUGUGGUGUGGUCUCUGUCCUCUGAAAAUAUCUUAGGUAUUAUAUAGUCACCCUUCUUGUGAUGAGGUGAGAUCAUCCAGUGCCUACAUAAUGAGGUGAAGUGAGGUGAAGGACAUUAGCUUUGGGAUGCAGUAUUAGGCUGCCCCAUAAGGGUUACUUGAACCCAAGCACCAGGAUACAGUGCCUGUCAGUCUAAAUGACUGAGACGGCUGCUAAGUGACUAACAGGUGGGUGGUGUAUACAGCAUGGAUACACUGGAGAAAGGGAUGAUUGGUGUUCUGAGCAGGACAGAGUGGGAUGGUGCCGUUCUUCACCACCCUACUCAGCACAGUGUGCAGUUUGUUUCUGAGUUUUCCAUUUAAUAUGCUUGUACUGUGAUAACUGAAACUGCAGAAAGCUAAUCUGCCGAUAAGGGAAGGCUGCUCUCUGAGCAUAUCCCAAGCAUUAGUUGUAUUUUUUAUGGCAGCCCUAGUUAAUAAGGAGUGACCAGAUUUUACUUACUUCUAGAGCAUGGCAUAACAAUUCACAGUACUAUUUUAUUUUAAAGAUUUUUUUUUUUUUAUUUUAAAGGGAGAGAUACAAAGAGAGAGAGAGGAGAGAGAGAAAGAGAGAGAAAAGGGUCUUCCAUCCACUGGUUCACUCCCCAGACAGCUGCAGUGGCUGGAACUGAGCCGAUCUGAAGCUAGGAGCCAGGAGUUUCUUCUGGGUCUCCCAUGCCGGUACAGGAGCCCAAGGACUUGGGCCAUCCUCUGCUGCUUUCCCAGGCCAUAGCAGAGAGCUAGAUCAUAAGUAGAGCAGCCAGGACUCGAACUGGCACCCAUAUAGGACGCCAGCACCACAGGCAGCGGCUUUACUCACUACACCACAGUGCUGGCGCCCACAGUACAACUUGUAUUCAGCUGGUAUUUGUUGAUACAAGAUGUGUCGGAUGCUGCUGAACACACUGGGUAUAUUGCUGUGGACAGAAGAGAGUUCCUGAAUCAUGGAUCUUCCAUGCUAAUGCAGGUGCUGGAUGAUAAGGAAGAUAAAAUGUGUAGAUGGUGAAAGUGGUAAAGAGGAAAACAGGGGAAAUGGUUAGAUAGAGGGAGUAGCAGGACGUUCACACCUGCAGGAGGUGAGGGAUUAAGCAUAUUCUAGGCAGAGGGCACCACAAAUGUCAAUGCCUUGGUUGUGUGUGGGUGUGUGUGGGUGUGUGGGUGUGGGUGAAUGACUGAGGGCUGGUGUUGGCUGGAGCAUGGUCGUCAAGGGGAGUAAAGGAGUGGAGGGGCCUGCAGCGAGGUCAGAGUGCAGCUCCUACCACUGGCUCACUUCUCCAAUGCCCCACAGCAGCCACAGCUAGAUAAGGCAAAACCUAGGAGCUGAGGACUCAGUCCAGGUCUCUGGCUUGAGUGGCAGGAACACGGUUACUUAAGCCAUUGCCACUGCCUCUCAGGAGUUGCAUUAGCAGGAAGCUAUAGCAGGAGCCAGAGCUGAGUAUGGAAGCCAGGGCCUGGGAUGACAACAGGUAUCUUAACUGGUAUCUUAACUGCUAAGCGAAAUGCCUACCUCUGAUAAGUUUUUAAAGAGGCCCUGGCUGGCUGCUGGGUGGAGAAAGACUGAAAACAACCCUGAAUCCUGGCUCCCCACCCCGCCCAUGCUGUCCUUGGUGGGACAAUUGCAUACGGUUGCAGGGGCAAUGGGAUUUGAGAUGUGCAUGUCACUGGAAAUAAAGGACACUGCCACGGGACACAGCAGCGCCUUGCAGGACCUUUGGCUUCCUCCCUUACUGCUUUCUUGCUCAGGGAAGUGAUCCAGCAGGGGAGGAUAGGGGUUUGGUGGCGUUAUCUCCAUUUUGGCCAACUGCUGUGUGAUGUGCCUAGGUUAAAUGACAACUCCUUUGUUUCCUAGUGAGCUUUUGAGACUUACUGGCUGUCACAUAUCUGGAAUUUCAGCCUUCUGAAAUGAUCGUUGAGUAAAAAUACAUCUUGUUGUCGGUGGUGGUGGUGGUGGUGUUGAAGGAAGAUGAAUUAAUAUCCGUUUCAGCUUUUCAAGAGCAGAUGAGCUUGGAAACCUGGGCUGCUUUGUUAUCCUUGAGAGGGAAGGAGAGUACGUCUCUGUAGUAAAGAGCUUUCUCUGCUCUCCCUGGCUAGCAGUCUGACUGAAAAAGCGCAACAGAAAAAGCUCAUGUGUUGCACAUGUACAGUAAAGACGAAAGCAACUGAGGAAUGUAUGCAUUGCGUUUUCUAAAAUACGGGGGAUCUUCAUGAAGUGCUUUGAAAAUGUGUGCUGUGAAAAUAUAUGCAAUUCAGAUUUUUUCCUAUCAAAAUGAACUUCUUUUAAUUCCAUUUUGCAUAAACUUACAAAAAAGAUUUAUUUAUUUGUUUACUUCUUUAUUUGAAAGGCAGAGAGAGAGAGAUGUUCCAUCUGCUGCUUCACUCCCCAAAUGGCUAUUAACAGCCAGAGCUGGGUCAUGCCAUAACCAGAAGCCAGGAAUUCCGUCCAGAUUUCCCACAUGGGUGGCAGGGGCCCAAGUACUUGGCCCAUCUUCCACCGCUUUACCAGGUGCAUUAACAGGUAGCUGGAUCGGAAACUGAGCAGCUGAGACUUGAACUGGUGCUGUGACACUGAAUAUCUUUGUUGCAAGCAGUGUCUUCACCCUCUGUGCCACAAUGCCAGCCCCUUCAUGAACUUUAUGAAGCACCCUAGUAAUUUUAUUUUUUGGAGAAAAAUACUGAGAAUACAAUAGCUUGGCUUUUAAGUAAAUAAAAGUAAAUAAAAUAAUUUUUAAAUCUCAACCAAUUUUGAUGAUGAAAAUUGCAAUUUAGCAGGAGUGGCAAAUAUUUUCCAAGUAUCUUUGAGAUAGUUAGAGAUAGUAAUUUAGGAAGUAAUAGUAAAAUGGUUACCUUUUUGAUAUAUCCACAGAAUUUACCUGAGAAGAUGCAGAAAUGAAACACUUAAAUACAAUGUGUGGUGUGCACAUUCCAGGUGUGAAAACAAACUGUUUUACCAAAUUCUGAAGACUAUCUGAAGCCGAUUUUUUGAAGCACCACAUCAUAGCCUGGACACUGAGAACACGGACUGCGGGGGUGAUGCAUGAAAUGAAGCAAUGUGUGCUGACAGACGUGUCCAUUAUGUCAUUUAAAAAGGAGGGCGUUUUAACCGAAAUCUAUUCUAGACUAGUGAUUUUAGUCUGUUUUCUAAAGUAGAGAUGAAAACUGAGUUCAAGCCGACGUCAGUGAGUCAGCCCUCCUCCUCCAGUGAGUUGAGAUGGUUGUCAUCUCAGGUUAGAGUUACAAGGUAGAAGUACGGUCACUGCAGGGUGAGAGGCAUCUGGCACCAGCGCCUCUAGCUGAACUACUUGGUUUCUCUAAGCUUUCUUUCUGCUCUGUAAAAUGUGGGUAAUAAAACCUACCCUGAGGGUGGGUUGUGUUGGUUGAUGAGGUUGCUCAUAUCCACCCAUUAGACUGCACCUGGCACACAUCAGCUCCCAGGUCAUGAUGGCUAGUACCAUUCCAGUGGGCAUACUUUUAUUAUUUCCUAACCAAGACUCUGUCACUGUGUUAGCUAAUGAUUUCUGAGGGCACCCAAGUUUGUUUUAGGGGUACACCCCGUACUUUUUGAAUGCCUUGAGAGAUAGGGAGUAGAAAGGAGAGCAUUUGGCUCAGAGUGAGCAGCAGGUGGAACCCCGAGCCCUGUGCCUGUGCCUGUGUACCCGCUUCUCCCUCCAGGAGGCUGGUAAUUAGCAUCAACAGACACAAGCUGAGAGUCUCCUGGGCCGCUCAGAUAUGUGUGGAGAAGAGCACAUGGCAUGUGCAAGCCCUGUUGGAUUGACUCUGUGGGCUCAGCUGGGCUGGUGGAGGCAUUGCCUGGAGUUGGGCCUGCCUGGGUCUCAGCUGGUGCACAGACACUGCCCUGCAGCCUGGGCCCUGCCCAACAGGCUCAGCCGAGCAGACACACCCAGUGGGGGGCUGCAGCCUCCAGCUGCUUUGCAGCCUCUGUCAGGCCAGGGCUGCCUGAGCUGCUUCUCUGCUAUUUAAAUCUGUCACUGCCUGGUGACAGCUUCCCGCCUAAGCAGAGGCAGUGUGCGUGCUACAGGUUUCAGCUCAUUACCUUCGUGGGGUCUGGUCCCUGGGCUCUCUGGGAGGGGACAGACUGCAGUGCAGUGCUGCUCCUGACCCCUCAUUGGUGGCUGCUGUGUCUGGUCCAGCAUGGGGGCCCUGCUGCCCUAGAGUGCCUGCCACCUGCUUAUCAGGGGGCCUUUCUCCAGAGUAAGAUCAGAGGGUUUUCUCCCAGCUGGAGGGGACUGUGAUACUUGGAUUUGCUCAUCAAGAUGUGUAUCCUGCCCCCCAAAUUCAGUGACCUUGGACACCUUACUCUGUAUCUCCUCUGUUAAUAAGUGGUCCACUUUUUGAAGGCUGUUAACUGGGUCUUUGUCUCCAUAUCCUUAGCUCCUGGUAGGUGCUUAGGAAACAGAGGAAGCCAGCGCCCUCAUCCCUCAGUUGUGUUGGGGAGAGAGAAUUUGUGUGAUUCUAUGAAACUUCAUAAGACAAAGGGGAUAAGGAGAAAGGAUCCUUGCAUUUCCCCAAGUUCUGUUCCUUCCGUAUCCUCAAUAUUAAUCUCAGACAGUCAGGAGUUUAAAAGAAGAACAUUUGUAGGUUUUCAUUUAUUGAUUCAAACUUUUACUGACUUUUUCAAUUUAUUUAAGUAGACAUCUCUCCAAAGAGGUUAUAUGCAUGGUCCAAACCAGCAUAAAUGGCUACUCUGCAUCAUUAGUGAUUAGGGAUAUGCAGAUUAAAGCCACUUCAUACCCUGUAAGAUGACUACAGUAAAAAGAGACAGACAAGGGGCAGGUGUUGUUGGUACAGCUUAUGAUACCUGCAUCCUGUAUUGGAGUGCCAGUUCAAGUCCCAGCUCCCCCUGCUAGCACUUCUGGGAAGGUCUCAGAAUGUGGCCCAAGUACUUGGGUCCCUGCUGCUCACGUGGGAGACAAGGAUAGAGUUCCAGGAUCCUAGCUUUGGCCUGACCUAGCCCCCGCACCAGCGAGUGGAAGCGUGUGCUCUUGCUGUGUGUCACUGACUCCCUCUUUCUGUGUUAUUCUGUCUUACAAAUAAAUCUUUGAAAAAAAAAAAAAAACAGACAAUAACAAAUGCUGGUGAGGGUAUGUUUAUGUGGGGGAUGGGGAGCGGGGCAGUUGGUACCCAAGGAACCCUCAUGUGUGCUGAUGGGAAGGUGAAAUGGCAUAGUGUCUUUGGAGAACAGUCUGGCAAAAUCUUAGAUGCUGUACACAGAGCAAGUCCAUUUCUAGCUGUCUGCCUAGGGUGCAGCCCAUGAGAACAGUGCUGCUGUGGAUCUGGGCAUGCAGCGUUGUUCUUACAGGCCACGCCCGAGUGUCCUGGUCUGUGCUAUGCACUGGAUGAUAGGACACCCUGUAGAGCAAGUUUUCCAGCUCCUCUGCUGUUGUUUCUGUCACACAGAGUACAUACCCAGGAAGUGUGAAGCUUUUGGCUUCCCUCACAUAUAACUAGAGAAUGGCCUGAGUUCGGCGUAUGUUCAAGAACACAAAUUCAGGGAGUCUUAGGGGCAUCUUUACUCACUAACAGCCAUCUGGUGUCUCCCAGAAUUUGGUCUUCAGCAUUCCUCGUAAUCAGCCUGGGAGGACUCCUUAUUAUGCUGUGAGUUGCUCUCUAUACUUCAGGCUUUUGUAGAUGUGUUCCCAGUGGCUGGAAGAUUCCAGCAGCCUUGAGUUAUCUCUAGAAAGCACUGAUAAGAGCCUUGCUAGUUUGGGGGUGGGCAGGGCCUCCUUACAGAGAUUUCUGAAGACUAAGCUACCUGAUCAGCAGUCUUUCCUGGCUGCAGCCUGUGGCGGUGGUGGCCAGGGGCUGUGGCAGGUGUAGGGGUGCAGCUCUUGGAUGUGUCUGCAAUGCCUAAGGCAGUUGUCGCUCCCCCUCUUCGUGGAGGAACGACACAGGACCCUGCGCUGUUCUUUCGUCUGCUCGGCCCUCCCCGGGUUUGCUGUUGGUUCUUCCCGGGUUGGCUACUAUCCCUUCCACCUCCGUGGAAGGGCAGUUCCCCCUGGCCACAUUCCCCACUUCCGCAGGAGAGCAGCACACCGCCGGCCGGCUUUCUCGGGGGCUGCACAGGGGUUCCCUUAGAUGUUCCCCUUAGAUGUUCCUGGUGCAUGCCGUCUCUCUCCUCCUUUAUAGUCCUCCUCUGCCAAUCCUAACUCGGCUGCCCACACGCCGAGUACGCUGCUCUCCUCCAAUCAGGAACAAGUCCUACAGUUUAUUAGCUGAACUGGAGGCAGCUGUGUAGAAGCUGUUUACUUCUCUCCCAGCGCCAUAUUGUGGGAGAGCAGAUGCAUAGAAUAAGUCUUAAUUCCAGUAACUUAGUCCAGUCCGGAUUGCUCCCCACAGAAGUGAGUAUUAGCCUCAAGGGCAGGGCCUCCUGAGUAAGAUGGGGGUCAAUUUAAGCGAGGUCCUUAAUAGAGUAUUGUCUUGUUUUUGAGAUCUAAGUUCUUUCUGUCAGAAAAUUGUAAGAGAGCAGAAGAAUAUGCUUCCUUUAUAAGAGAGAGAAGAAAACUAGAUGACUGUAGGGAGGCAGAACAGCACAGGGGAAGUAGUGCUGUUGAUUUGUAAAAGAAGUUAAGCCAAAACUUCUGAAUGAACCACAGCAUAUAAUGGCUGACCCCAAGACACCUAGGACUAGCAGGAAUGCCAAAGCAGAAUGUGAAACCUAGAGAUAGAUGGGCACUUAGAAGGCCAGGGGCCCUGGGCAUGUGCCUCAGGCACUCCUUCAGGUGCCUGGAGAUCACCUCCCUGAUUAGAAAGUUGUCUGGUGAGUGUAGAAAUGGGUGGAAAGUGAAUGUUUGGGAGAAGAUCUCUAUCAGGCUGUUUGCUAGGUAAGUCCUACCUCUCCCUGCCCAGGGGCGUUUCUGCCUGCAGCCACCAGUCAUUGAGCCCUGAGAUGAUGCAGACUGGGAGGACCUCAGGGAAGAGUGAGAAAUCUGGGCCUGAAAACUUGCUGCUGUCAGUUGGACUUAUUCAGUGUAAGCCUGGUUUGGUUCCUGUUGGUGCUGUGCUCACUACACUUCAACACGGACUUGUCGGAAGGGUUCUGCCGCCCUACCCUGUAAGAAGUCGAACUUUCAGAAUGUUGGGUCUGCGUCUGCAUGGGCUGCCUUUUUUUCUGGCCAGUUCUUUUCAGUCUUAAAAUAGUGAGGCUGCUGCGAGGGUUAACUGAGAUGCAUGCCUAAGCAUCCAAUACAGUGCCAGUAAAUGUUCCAUAAAUAUUAGUUCCAUCCUGGCUGUUCCAGUUUCAACCCAGCUCCCUGCAGAUGGCCUGAGAAAAACAGUGGAAGAUGAGCCGAGUUUGGGAAACCUGGAUGAAGCUUCUGGCUCCUGGCUGCGGCCUGGCUCAGACCUGGCUGUUGCAGCUAUCUGGGGGAAUGAACCAACAGAUGAAUGAUCUAUCUCUCUGUAACUCUUUCAAAUAAGUAAAUAAAUAUUUUUUUUAAAGUUGCAUCAUCUUGUAUAUAAAUGCUGCUCUUACAGUGAUAAUUGUAAUUGGAAAGUAUCUGGAUUUAAAGCACACAUUUAUUGUUUUUCUUAUGAUAGCAUUAGAAAAAUUGAAAAGCAGAAAAUAUAAAUAAAAUUCCCCAUUAUUUGAAAUUAAUCAACUUAAUUUUUUUAGAAAUGUUAUUUUUCUAUAUCUGUGCAUCUUUUUAUGCAGUUGAACAUUGGGAUCAUAAUCUCGAUUUUUGCACAUCAUUGAAAAUCUGUGGUUGUUUUUAAAAAUUGCCAAAAAGUAUGUAUUUGUGUACUCUGUCCAACCUGUUGCCUAUUUUUGAGCCAAAUAGGUUUUCUCUUCUACAAGUUAGUGUAGUGAAUGCUCUUGAGUGACAUGCCUGAUUAUUCAAGAAGUGGAAAAGCACAGUUAAAGGGUAGGUUAUUUUCUUUAAGUGCUCUGGUAACAUUGCCAAAUUACCAGUAUCCAGUCUACUAAAAAGUAAUGAGAAAGUAGUGAGAAUGCUUAUUUUCCCCAACUGUGGUCAGUGCUGAGUAUUUAAGUUUUCAAGUGUCUUUGCUGUUCUGAUAGAUAGAAAAUGUCUUGCUGUUGAUUUCAUUUGCAUUUCUGAUUAUGGUGUGUAUGUUAACUACAUAUGUAUUUGUAUUUCCAUCCUGUGUUCUGUGUUUAGGGUUUUGCUCCAGUUCCCCUUUAUUGCAUGUCUUACUCGUUUGUAAGACUUUGACCUUUUUCAUAUAUGUUGUGGAGACAUCCAGUUUGGCAUUUCACUCCUUUUUCAUCUUUUUAAGGAAAACGUGUUAGAUGCCAGCUGAUGUGGUGAGGUAAGGAGUUGGGGAAAGGGCACGUGGCGGACGGGAGAGCUGUCCCGCGUGGCGUCCGUCGUGAAGCCGAGUGCUGGGGCUCUGGAACUCACUCUCUCAUGGUGGUUUCACUUAGCUGCUCAGAAGCCUUUGAUCCCUGAGAGAGGCGUGGGUGCCACAUUUCCUGGAAAAUGUACGUGAAGUGCAUGGUUCUGAGCAAGACUAGAGAGCGCAGUGGAAUCCCUGGUGUAAAAUGACCUUGACUUUCAUCUAUCCCGUACCCAAAUUCAGCUUUGCUUGCUUUGGCCAGAUCUGAUGGGGACUAGUGUGGGGGAGCGGGAGGGGAGCAGGACUUGGACACCUUCUGUCUUCUCCUUGUCAACUCUGUGACCUUGCACACUUGUUUGCUAGGUUUGCUGUGAUCCACGUGCAUGUCCUGAGCACCAAUAAAUGCUGAUGAUGAGUUUUUCUCUGCACAUCGAUCCUAAGUUUCUCCAUGUCUUGUCUGUACCUUAUUCAUGUCAGUAUCCUCAUGCACAUAGUCUUUCCUUUGCAUUUAUCCAGUGACUUAAUGAAUGGGGCCUAGUGCAGCAGCUUAAACAAGAGUAGUGCAUCCUGAAGAGUGACAGUAGAUAUGUAAGCGUUCUCUGUAUGUUACCUACACACACACACACACACACACACACACACGUGUCUAUCAAGCUAAAGGGUUUGCUUCACAGGAUUGGUGGUUUGGCAUGUCCUGCAGGAUUUGGGCUUGGGAUCCUCUGUUUGGGACUUGUGACAGGCCUUGUCUGGGUUGGGGCCAGGAUUAAAAUGAUGGUGCUGAUUAUUCCUCUCCUGGAGGGCCUGUGAGCCUUGACAUUUGGUUCUGCCACUUAGUGGCCUGUGGCCAGCCUCUCAGAACCUGCAGGGCCGGAGUGGAUCCCAGGGGCCUAGCUAGGCUUGAAAUUGUUCUUACUCCUGACGGAGCAGAGCCGCUCCUGCAGCCCAGUGGGAGCACCCAGCAGUGAGUGUACACAUAAUGGACCUGCAGCCUGUGAGCACCCCCUGAGAGGCCAGGUGCCUGGACACAUCUCCAAGCAGUUACUUUUCCCCUUUGGUACCUGUGACAAGGAAAGGAAAUGCAUUCUUCCUGCCCAGUGGGGCUGGCACCUUCACCUGCAGCCUGACUAGUCUCAUAGCUGCCCAGCAAGGGAGAUGUUAGGCCUUAUUGUAUUGUCUUUCUAGGGUUGCCAUAACAAAUGAGCACUAACGGGGUGCCUUUGAACAGCAGACAUCUGUGGUCUCUGUUCUCAAAUGCAGAUCUGCAGGCCCAGCCACAGCCCUGUUGAAUCAGGACUUGCAUUAACAAGACCCACAGGUGGUUUGGACACCCACUGAAGUUGAUGAGGUGUAUGACUCAGGGACAUGCACUUGACCCUGAUUGCACAUUAGGUUUGCUUGAGAAGUUUUCACACACACAAAAAAAACAGCAGCAGCUGUACCCCAAGAUGGUCGACUCUGAGCCCUGGUGAGGCAGUGGCAUUUGUAUCGUGUUACAGCUGCCCAGGCCAUGUAGGUGCACAGUGUGAGUGGAGAGCCACCUGGGGCUGGAAGUGCUCUGUUCUGGAGGGAGCGUCCAGACUCUGCAGGACCGGGGUUGGGAAUUCCAUCUGCACAGGCUCUUGUUAUUCCACAGGAGCGCAGGGCUGGGGGUGGGUAUCUGUUUCAGGGAAGGCAGAAUGUGAGCAAGAGGCCCUCACUGUCUUUGUCUUCUGCCUUUAUCUCAAGCAGCUCGUUUAUCCAGCCUGGGAGCUUUCAGGGGACAGGAAGGGUGAUGAGGAGGUAGCACAGAGCAAGCACUGGGGUUUGUUGGAUUCAGCUGGAGAGUGAAACCCAUAGAAAGCCAGGGCGGUGGUUCUCCCUGGAAUAUAUCAUUCACGGAGAAGCCCUUGUCUUACUUCGGGGUGUAAGGGAGAGUUGCAGGAGAGAGGACCGCAUGAGCUUGCUUGUUCCAUCAGGGAGCCUGGAGGCGUUGUUGGAAGGUUGAGAGUCAAGUGUGAGCCUUAGGUGUAAUUGCUGCUGUAGUGUUGCUUUGGUGGGGCAGGAACUGGAGGGUGAAGUUUUAGCUUCUAAGCCUUCCCCAAAACAGACUUGAAGCAGGAAGGUGACCAUGUUCAGACCAGCUUGCCCUGCCUUUCCCUCAAACUCUGUCCCUUCAACCUUCUCUUGUUAGCUCCUCUUUCCUCUUUGUAAAAUAUAGUGAGGGAAGGGAGCUCAUUUCAGUCUGAGGUCUUGAUUUAGCCUGUGUUCAGUCGUCAGACUUAGUGUCCUUUACUCAUUCCUGGACUUCUGGUCUUUAGAAACAAUUAUUUGAGGGAAAGAGCACGUGCUUCGGACUGCAGGUCGACUCCCCCAAAAACACACGACAGCUCAGCUGAUGGCGGGAGGUGAAGCGAGAAGCCUGGAAUUCCAUCCAGGUUUCCCACUUAGAUGGCAGGGACCUGGUUACUUGAGCUGUCAUUUCUGCCUCCUGGCAUCUGAAUUAGCAGGAAGCUGGAGUCAGAAGCCAGAGCUGGGAUUCAGACCCACAUACUUCAGUAGGGGAUGUGCAUAUCUUAAAUAUACACUCGAUCUCCUGGAUUUUUAUGUGGCGUUUUGUACUUCUGGUGUGCCACCUGCCCUCAUCUUGAAAGUCUCUUCUCCCUUGGACUUCCUGAUCCAGUCCUUGUAUCUGGGUUGCUUUCUCUACCAUUUCUCACCGACCUCAUGAACAGUGGUCCUCUUUAAGGUUUUCUUCUCUUUCCAGGAAUUCCCUCCACCCUGCCAGUUCUGUCCUGAGCUUAGGAAGGACUACCACCACUUCUCUUCCAGAUGAAUCAGCCAAACACUCCAUACAUUUAAGAUUUAUGUAUUUAUUUGAAAGGCAGAGUUACAGAGAGGCAGAGAGAGAGAGAGGGAGAAGUCUUCCAUCUGCUCGUUCACUCCCCAAAUGGCUGCAACGGCCGGAGCUGGGCCAAUCUGAAGCCAGGAGCCAGGAGCUUCUUUCAGGCCUCCCAUGCAGGUGCAAGGGCCCAAGGACUUGGGCCAUCUUUUACUGCUUUCGCAGGCCAUAGCAGAGAGCUGAAUUGGAAGUGGAGCAGCCAAAACUCGAACCAGCACCCAUUUGGGAUGCCAGAACUUCAGGCAGCAGCUUUACUGCUAUGCCACAGUACCGGCCCCCUCCAUACAUUUAAAAAGGAACUCACUAGCCUCUUGUUUCUUUCUGUCUCUCUCUCUCUCUUUCUCUCUCUCUACCCUUCUCUUUUUCUUUUUAAGAUUUAUUUAUUUAUUUGAAAGGCAGAGUUACAGAGAGGUCCUCUUUCUGCUGGCUUACUCCCCAAAUGGCUGCAACGGCCGAAGCUGGGCUGAUCCAGAGCCAGGAGCCUGGAGGUUCUUCCAGGUCUCCCACACAGGUGCAGGGGCCUGAGGACUUGGGCCGUCUUCCAGUGCUCUCCCAGGUCAUAGCAGAGAGCUAGAUGGGAAGUGGAGCAGCUGGGAUCUGAACCAGUGCCCACACAGGACACCGGCACUGCAGGUGGUGGCUCCACCCGCCACACCACAGUGCUGACACUUCUGGCUUCCUUUUUUGAGUGGUACUGUAUUUCAUCUACCAUUUCUCAAAGCCCCUUGUCUAGGUUUCAGCCUGUUAUACUGACUCUUCUGUUUCCCUUUGGGGCAUCUUUGUUAUGUUUGUUUCUUUACUUAAUAUUCCCAUUAUCUAAAUCCUGAUCAUCUGAUAGCUGAAGGCAUGCUUAUCCUUGCAGUGAGAAUUAAAAUUACUCUGUUCAUCCUGGAGUCCUUUGCAUAAAAAGUAAACUCUCCCAGGGCUGGUGCUGUGGCGCAGUGGGUUAAAGCCCCAGCCUGAAGCGCCAGCAUCCCAUAUGGGCACCAGUUUGAGUCCUGGCUGCUCCUUUUCCGAUCCAGCUCUCUGCUAUGGCCUGGGAAGGCAGUAGAAGAUGGCCCAAGUCCUUGGGCCCCUGCACCCAUGUUGGAGACCAGGAAGAAGCUCCUGGCUCCUGGCUUCAGACUAGCUCAGCUCUGGCCGUUGCGGUUAUUUGGGGAGUGAACCAUCAGACAGAAGACCUCUCUCUGACUCUACCAAUCUCUGUAACUCUGUCUUUCGAAGAAAUAAAAUAAUUCUGAAAAAAAAAAAAAAAAGAAUAAAAAAAGUAAACUCUCCCUACAUUUGCACUUUUAAAAAAAUUUGUUAAUUUAUUUGAAAGAGUUACAGAGAGAGAAGGGGAGAGACAGAGAAAGAUAUUGUAUCCACUGUUUCACUCCCCAGAUGGUCACAAAGGCCCAGGCUGGGCCAGACCAAAACCAGGAGCCAGGAGCUUCAUCCACUGGGUCUCCCACAUGAGGGUCAGGGGCCCAAGCACUUCUGCCUUUACCAGGCCAUUAGCAGGGAGCUGGAUCGGAAAUGGAACACUCAGGACGGGAACCAGCAUCCAUAUGGCUACACCACAAUGCCAGCCCCUACAUUUGCAUUUUCAUCUUCUGCUGUGCUGGUAGCCUAGUCUUUCCUCACACUUGCCUUCUGUACCUACACUAUGUGACUGGCCUGUGAGGGGCGGGCACAUAGCCUGGCAGUUAAAAUGUCAGCUAAGAUGCCCAUGUCCCAUAUCUAAGAUCCAGUGUCCUGCUACAGUAGACCCUGGGAGGCAGCAGGUGAAGACUCAACUGAUUGGGUUCCUUCUUCCCACAUGGAGGCCUGGAUUAGUGCAUGGCUCCCAACUUCUGCCCCAAUUGGUCCCAGCUGUGGUGGACCUUUGGAGAGUGAACAAGCAGAUGGGGGAGUGCUUUUUCUCUCAAAUAAAUAAAUAAACAAUAGUGUAAAAACGCCUAUGAGAGUUUGCUGACUGUUGAUAGGUGAAUAGCUACAUCUUCCAGCUGACCCAUACUUUGCUUGUUUUUGGAGACUCCUGGUUCCUCUUGUCUCUCUUUCUCUCUGACUCAGAAAGUACUCUUCUUUUCUAACACCUUUUCAUUAAGUCACUUACUCUUUUUUUUUUUUUUUUUUUGACAGGCAGAGUCAGACAGUGAGAGAGAGAGAGAGAAAGGUCUUUCUUUCUGUUGGUUCACCCCCCAAAUGGCCGCUGCGGCCGGCGUGCUGUGCCGAUCCAAAGCCAGGAGCCAGGUGCUUCCUCCCGGUCUCCCAUGCGGGUGCAGGGCCCAAGCACUUGGGCCAUCCUCCACUGCCUUCCCGGGCCACAGCAGAGAGCUGGACUGGAAGAGGAGCAACUGGGACAGAACCGGCGCCCCAAAUGGGACUAGAACCCAGAGUGUUGGCACCGCAGGCAGAGGAUUAGCCAAGUGAGCCGCGGCAUCGGCCAAAUCACUUAAUCUUUUGCUACAUUUAUUUCUGAUGUGUAGUUUGCCAGUGUCCUAUUUCCCCAGCUAGAUUGAAAUCUCCCACCAGACUCCAGUUGGUGUUAAACUGUCUUAUUCCAGGUCUGGGAUUUGGUUUCUGUCCCCUCACAUCUCACCACAGAUUCUGCUCUAUACAUAAUGGGGUGAAUACAGGGAAUGAACACAAGGAAUCAUGGUGGGUAUAUUUACUCAAAUAUGUGAGCCAAGAAUGCCUUGUGAUGUGCGUGCCAAAAAUAGAGUUCUGGUCUGAGAUUGCCAAUGGAAAAAAACACCUUGUAUUUACAGUUGAGUUUGGCACCAAGUCAGCCCUUGUCUCUCCUUCUUUGGUACAAAUGCUGUAAAACUCUGAAUGCUGUGUUUCCAUGAAAGGAACAUGAGUUCUGUGGAGGUGAUGAUUAAUGCUGGAUGUGUCAAGGCAUUGCUGUCCCAUGUAGGAGGGAAGCGGUGCCCAUCUAGGAUCAGUUCAUGAAUUCAUUUGCCUUUGGUUUCCUCCUUCCCCCCCAGCAUCCUGCUUGCUGGUACCCAGUAGAAAUGGAAAGACUGGUGUGCUUGGUGAUGCUUGAGCUGACCUGCUGGGCUUCCUGCUGCAUGGACUUGAUUGGGAAGUUCACUGUGGAGUCUGAUUGCAAAGAUGUGAUAGAAACAUGAGGCUAUGUGUGUAUCUUCUGUUGACUUGUUUACCUCCCUGCUUACCUGUCAGAUUAAGGAAUGUGCUAGUGCUUUACAAAUACUAAUUUAAAUUGCACAUCAAGUCUGAGAAGUAAGUACUCUCCUCUCAUUCUCCCCAUUCCACAGAUGAAGAAUCUGAGCAGAAAAGAAUCUUAGCAACUACUUUUUUGUAAUUUUUUUGCCUCUAAUAUUUACUCAAAUAACAAAAUAUCUGUUGUUCCCAAUCAUCUCUAGUUCUGUGGCUUCUAUAGCCACAGAUCAUUCUGAUUCUUUGUAAUGGUCCUGGCUAUGCUCUCGGAUUGGCAGUGUGUGUGUGUGUGUGUGUGUGUGGUGUGGUGUAUGCAUUUUAACACCUAUUCUAAGAAAAUCUCCUAUAGUGCUUUACAGUUUAUAAUUGCCUUUUCAGAUGUUAUCUACCUUAGUCUACUAACUCUGGUAAGAAGUAUUAUUGUUUAUUUCUGUUUAACAAUAAGUAAGUGGCUUAGGGAGGUUAAGAGACUGAACUCAUUGGGGCUGGUGCUGUGGCUCAGUGGGUUAACGCCCUGGCCUGAAGCGCCGGCAUCCCAUAUGGGCCGGUUCUAGUCCUGGCUGUUCCUCUUCCUGUCCAGCUCUCUGCUAUGGCCUGGGAAAGCAGUAGAAGGUGGCCUAAGUCCUUGGGCCCCUGCACCCGUGGGGGAGACCCAGAAGAAGCUCCUGGCUCCUGGCUUUGGGUCAGCGCAGCUCUGGCCGUUGCGGCCAUCUGGGGAGUGAACCAUUGGAUGGAAGACUUGUCUCCCUCGGCCUCUCCUCUCUCUGUGUAACUGUGACUUUCAAAUAAAUAAAAAUGAAUCUUUAAAAAAAGAGAGACUGAACUCAUGUCCUACUUUUUUUUUAAGAUUUUUUUAUUUUUAAUUUUAUUUUUUUAAAGACAGAGUUACAGAGAGGCAGAGGCAGAGAGAGAGAUCUUCCAUCUGCUGGCUCACUCUCCAAAUAGCCACAACAGCUGGAGCUGGACCAAUCUGAAAAUCUCCCACAUGGGUGCAGGGGCCUGAGCACUUGGGCCAUCUUCUACUGCUUUCUCAGGCCCUAACAGAGAGCUGGAUCAGAAGUGGAGUAGCCAAAUCCUGAACUGGUGCCCCUAUGGGACACUGGCACUGCAGGUGGCGGUUUUACCUGCUACGCCACAGCACCGGCCCUUGUGUGUCCUUCUUUUGAUUUAUACUUUGGAAUUUGAAGCAAAGUCCUAGAGCCUCAGUUUAUUUCUCUUGAUGUUCUUUGCUUUCCUAGCUUGGAUCAAAAUGAUAGUUACUGAAUCUCUGUCCUAGGCUUAUAUGAUGGAAGAGAGGAUUAUCAGAUGCCACAAGGAAUUUUUUCCCCUACUUUUCUUUGAUCACAAAAGUUAUGAAAAAGUCAGUUUUGUAAGGUUGUCUUGGUAUUUUUGGACUCAGUAAAGUCCUGGAGGAAAAGUGCAUGAUGGUGAUAAUUAAAUAUAGUUUCUAAAAGGGUAUGUCCUUGCUUCUGCCUGCAUGGGCUUACAGAGUGGGUGAGAGAAGGUUUGAAGGAGGAGUGAAAGUUGGAGAGCCCAACUGUGGCAUCAGGAAACUCUGUCUGGAGAUGAUUCCCUCCUGUACCGUAAACGCUGAGUAACUCCUCUGGGGGCCAAAUGCAGUCACCCUGUGCAGGGGGAUGGGGUCAGAGCUCUGGGGUCCAGUCUGGUGCACCCCUUAGUUUUGGGGUCUUGGGUAAAUCACAGAAAGCUCCUAGACCUCAGCUUUAUAUGCUGUGGCGAGCUUUUAUCAAGCAGCAGUGUGCUGGGCACCAUGGUCGGUGCUCCAGACAGAAAGACAAAUUAGAUAAGGUUUCAGCUCUUGGGUCCUGCCCCAUGGACAGACCGACAGGAAUCACAGUGAGAGUUCCUGUUAGGCUAGAGAUAGGCCCAGAGGGCUGUAAGUGAUGGGAAGCAAGAGGGCAAGCAGUGGAGCCGGGUGUCUUUCAGGGGAUCUUCUUUGACUUCCUCUUCUCUUUCUCCCUCCUUUGUUUUUCUAGCAGGAGGUUCCCCUGGGCCCCCAUGCUUAGCAUAUAGAAGGGGACGGAAAGGAAAAAGGCCCUUGGGCAAAGUGGUUUUGUCCUCUGGGGUGUCAGUGUGCCUCUCAGUGGGGGUAUGCUGUGGUGAGGCAUGUCUUCCCUCUCCCAUCUCUGCCCUCUAGUGCCGGCACAAGGCUAAUCUCAGAGAUUCCUAAGUGUCCUGUGUGUUUCUUCAUCCUGCUCUGGCCCAGGAACCCCUGUGAAUGGCGUAGGUUAUAUUUUUGUUUUCUUAACAUCAGCCCUGUGCCUGGCAUAGAAUUCCCGUGUGGAUAAAUUCAGCUGACUGGCUUGAUAAAUGGGCGGGUGGAUGAGUGGAUGGCUGAUGGACAAAUGGACAGAUGAGUGGGUGGAGGGAGGGAGAGAGAAAGGGGUAGUUAGGUGGAAGGAUGCAUGAAUGGAUGGAUGGAUGAAUGGAUUAGUGGAUGGGUAGAUGACGUGAAGGAGGGGAGAUGAAUGGAGGGAUGGAGGGAUGGGUAGGGGAAUGGAUGGAGAGAGGAAGGGAGGCAGAGAGGGAUGGAUGAGUGGGUUGAUGCACAGACUGAUGGUCAGAUGUAUGUAUGAGUGGAUGGAGGAGAGAGGGUGGGAAAGAUGGUUGGAUGGAAAGAUGGACAGAUGGACGAAUGGAUGAGUGGAGGGGAGGAUGUAUGAGUGGAUGGAUGAAGGGAGGGAGGGUUGGGCAUGUGGAUGGAGGAGGGGAGGGAUUUGAGGAGUGAACCAGCAGAUGGAAGACCUCUCUGUGUGUGUCUACCUCUUUCUGUAACUCUGUCUGUCAAAUAAAUAAAAUAAAUCUUUAAAAAUAUUAAUAUUAUAAAAAAAGAAAUGUAAAUCAUCAGAGGCUUUAAUUAAUAGCUACCAUCUCCUGAGUGCAUACUAUGAGCUAGGGAGUGGAGUGGGCGCUUCACUGGGUUACCUGAGUAACUGUGAGGUCUCAGUACUCAGAGGUGUCAGUCCCCUUACUCUGCGUAUGUGAGAGCCACAGCUCAAAGGCGCUGCUGGUCUUGUGCAGCAGGUGCAAUGCCAACUUAGAGCUGUGGAUUGAGCCUGGGCAUGCCUGGGCCAUGCUCUAGGGUGGAUUGCACUGAUGCUGGGAGACCAUGAAGCUUUCCUGGACAGGGGUGUGAGUACCGUCACCACGCUGUCAGGCUGAGAAUCAUAUUGUCAUAUUUUAGUCAGGAUCAUACUCUACUCAAUCUAAACCCUGCCGCCAGUACCGAAGGUGAUUGCUCACAGGCUGCAUUCGGUGGUAGAGAUUCUUAGGAGUACAAGAAAUUGUGUGGUUUUGUCAGGGGGAGGCAGAACUUCCCGCACGAGAGCCUGGCUGGGUUUGACCUUUACUUCUCGUAGUUACGGUUGAUGUAACCUGAAAUCAGGCUGCAGACUGGCGUGGGCACUCUGGAGUUGCUGUGGAGUAAGAUGGAGUUCUCCCAAGACUCCUGGGUCACCAGAGCUAAUGAUGCUGAGUCCUGUUCACAUUUCACGCUUGGGUUUGAGCAUCUGCUUUGGGAAUAGAGAUCUGCAGCUUUCACCGGGCCCGGCUCAAAGGUCAGCCCUUCAGAGCAGAGCGGCUCAGUCUUGGGGCACCACUAAGACUCCAAGAAGGAGUCCACGUUUGAACCAGCCAGGUCGCCUUGGGGUGGGGCUGGAGGGAGCACGCCAGGAACAAGUCGGAUUGCAGCUGAGUUCAUGAUCGUGCACUAAACGUCUGUGAUGUGUGAGGCUUAGAGAUACGGGAUUUUGUGGUUUUGCCUUUGAGAAAUACCCAGUCACUGAGGAAGAAGAGCAUGAUAGAAGGGAAGAUUGAGCCCUUUAUUCUCCUUGUACUUAUGGGUUUAAUUUUGUUUUCUUCAGUGAAGUGCAUCAGGUAACAUGUAUGCUUCUUCCCAGACCACUCGCCCAGGAGAAGAGACCGUCUAGGGAGUGCCUGCCUGCGGGCAGGUGGGAGGUUGGUUCUGGGCCUCUGCAUUCUGCUGUGCUGCUUGCUUUCCUGAGAGGGGCUGGUGACCAGGUGCUGUGAAUCCAGGUCAAGAUGAAGAAAAUGCACUUUUGUCCUUUCUCCAGGCAUGCAGCAGAGUCUCAGGUAUUCCAGCUAUGAGCGAUGUGCCGAUUGCGCAAGGCUUGAGCAUUGCUCACUCCGGAGACACAGAGGCCUGCCUGCCCCGAGCCCUUUGUUCUCCUGGUUGAAAGCAGUUAAUUAGCAACCGUCUCCAUGGCAACCACCUCCUAGUCCAAAAACAUUGUCUAGUUUUUCAGUUUAGCUUAUCACACUGUUUACCUGAAGGGCUUUUCACUGCUCAGAGUCUCAUUUGAGUUGGCGGCGUGCCUGUUGAGGAAGUGAAUUGUCAAGACAGAAAAGCACCCUGGUAGCCAGGAGCCGGCCACAGCCUCCCUGCCAGGCCUGGGCCCUGCCUUCUGGGGAAACAAAAGUUGUGCGUGCCCAACGUUUUCACCUCGAUUGUUUUUGCCCGCUAUUGUCUCCCUGGGGCCCUGGAUGAUGGGGCUUUCUCCUCUCCUUUCCCCCGGCUUUCCGAGCCCCUCAGUAUUCCCUGUUUGUGGUGUAUCUCCAUUGUCAGUGGGUCUUGGGUGAAGGACCAUGAGUCCCUAGUGGAUUGGUUCAGAGCAGCUCUGGCUUUAGUCCUGCCAAAGAAGGGGCUCCUGGCUUGACCUGUGGCUCGGGCUUUUUUCAGUUGAGCAGGUGCGAGAGAGAGAGAAAGGUGACUUCAGGGGAAUUCUGGCCUUCCCGUAAGCCACACAGCAAAGAUAAUAAUUUUCAUGGCUUUUGUUGCUUGCUGACUGUGUGGCCACGGAACUAGGACUCCUGAGAGCUGUGAAGACGGGAGGCGGGAAAGAGUGCAGAUGACCACGAUGCUGCUGCCUGGCCUGCCUGCUGAUCAUGUCGCGGUCUCUCGUGUUGUGGACUGGGGCCUGCUGUACCCCGACAGCAGCCCUGCACACCAGGUUCUGUCUCCACGUUCUGUGUUUUAAAGAGACCUGUUUAUGGACUAAAUGCAAGGAUGGUGAUCUGGCCUGCACCUGGUUUCAUACCUAAGAGUGAUGAAAUAUGAGAUCCUUGUACCUGAUGGUUACCACGCUAUCUUCUGCCCUUGGGACAUUUGGGUCUUGUUCUGGAAGGGAUUUAUGAAGCCCAGGAAGGGUGAGCAUACAAGGACACUUGAAAAAGUAUACGGAAAAAAAUGAAAUGAAAGGAAAUUUAUUUGGGCUUAAAGGUUUUUGAAGCAUGCUUUCUUCUCUUGGAUUUCCCAUGAACUGUUUGAAGACUCCGUGACUGCAUGAGUUUCAACAUUUUUGCAUUGAAAGAAAUGCAUCUUUUAAUUUCAUUUUCCAUGAACUUUUUGAAGCUUCAGCAUACUUGGUGUGGACCUGCCCAUGUUGAAAGAGUGGGUUCAUCUAAGAAAGGCUGUUUCAGGAGAAUUGGGCUGCCAGAAGCCCCAGGAUAGGGCAAUAAACAUGUGACUCAGCAGUGAUAGUGUUGUUUGUUGACUGUGAGAUCUGAGAGUUCACGUCCCCGGCUUCUGCAGAAGUGAGUGUCAUCUUGGGCUGUGUGGACAGAGGAGAGGAGAAGACUCACCAUAUUAGGACACGCGCGGAGUCGAGUACCUUGUCUUCCCCAUCGCUUCCUCCUUGUGAAGUGUGCCAGGAACCUUUCUGUGUGUUGGGGAUAUAAGAUGGCCCAAAAGAAAAAAAAAAAGAAAGAAAAAGAAAAACGAUGGAAGAGAAUGUAGACACUUCAUCAGAGAACAACUGGAUAAUAAAGAAUGGGAGAAACUUUGCAUCACAUAAAAUCAUUGAAGGUGGUUCGGGGGGUGUUUGGCCCAGCUUUGAAACAACUUGGCAAAGAUGUAAGAUUUUUUUAAAAAUAUCUGUGAGAUGCUCCUGGGUCAACAAAUGGCAGCUUCGUCUUGUAGGCUGUAGGUAGGAUGGAAGCAUCUUAGAGGAUAGUCAGAUUUGGGCUCAGUGUUUAGAAGGCUACUUUCUAAUAUUGCUGCAAGAGUGGCUCUACUUGGGCUUUGGGACACAUAAGGAGUUGAGGAAGAGCGGUCAGAUGACCGUUCUGUGGGGUGCCGUGAAGCACAAGUGCUGUUAUAAAUUUCCUUCACAGUGUCCAGUUGAGAGAAUGCUGUACUCUGUGUGGAAGACAGUUGUCAGAGAUGACAUCACAGUUAACAUGCCUGCUUCAUACUGUUUUAUUUCUCUGUCUUGGGGACUGGAUGAGAUCAUCUUAGGACGUUAGCGCAUUUGUUACUGUAUUCCAUGGGGUGGGCAGUUUUUACAGGAAAUCCUUUUCUUCGGAAUCACAGCCCAGGUUCAGUUCUCUGUAGUUAUUAUCAUAAUUACGUAUGCUGGUGUCUAAUUCCUUUUUCAACUUAGAAGUAAAGAUUAUCUUGGGUAUUUCUUAGCCUUUGUCAAAGCUGAGUUAUGAAAUAAUCGUAAUGUAGAGAUACUGAAGUCAGGCAUCUUAGAUUGACCCAUACUGAGUUUGUUCUUUUUAUUUGCAAGAUGCUUGAUCCCAAAAUUGGUACAAAUCACCUUGAGUGACAGACGUGAUGAUAAUCUUUUUACUUUGGCAGUUAGGCAUCAUUGUUUUAAGACUGCGCAUGUAGUUUUAGAAAUUGAGACGGUGUCUACAGAGUCAUGUGUCGUGUGAUUAGAUAAAAACUAGCACACAGAAUCUUGUUGAAGCAUUGAUUGAUAACAACGUGCCCCUUGCGAAGAAUUGAUCUAUUUAAAUCAAGUUAGUUUUACAGCUCCAUUUGUUGCUUCUGUAGGUUGAUGAGGUGGCUGUAUGAAGUUUCUUUUGUUUUCUUUCACUAGGAGUUUUUGCUGAGUGUUUUUUAAUGCCUGAAUUGACAGGACAGUUUAUAAGUUUUGAGAGUUGGUGUGAGCUUCUCAUUAGUGCACUUAGCAUGGCAGCACUUCCCUGUUUGAAUGUGCCCAGACCUGCCCUGAUAUUUACAGAGCCUGAGGCUCCUGUAUUUAAGUGGAAAUAUUUAAAAGUUAUAAUCAAGUUAAUAAACUGUUACAUAAAGUUUUCUAACCUCCUGCUUUGACAGAUAAUACCAUCAUGAUGACUUGGAACACAGGUUCAGAUUUAGGGGCUCACCCCUUUGUCUUCUCAGCCUUGGUUGCAUUUUUUUUCUUUCUUUUUUUUUUAAGAUUCAUUUAUUUGAGAUGUAGAGUUAAAGACAGAGAGGGGAAGAGACAGAGAGAGGUCUUCCAUCCACCAAAUGGUCACAGCAGCCGGAGCUGGGCUGAUCCAAAGCUAAGAGCCAGGAGCUUCUUCAAAUCUCUCACGUGGGUGCAGGGGCUAAAGCACUUGAGCCAUCCCGCCACUGCUUUCUGAGGCCAUCAGCAGAGAGCUGGAUCCGAAGUGGAGCAGCUGGGACUUGAACCUGUGUUCAUAUAGGAUGCUGGCACUGCAGGUAGAGGCUUAACUUACUGCACCACAGUGCCAGCCCCCCAGCUGUGUUUUACAGCAUGCACCUGGACACUGUGGACUGCAGAAGCAAGCCCUCCUCCAUGCCCUGCUCCCCUGUGUGAGUGCCCAUGGCAGUGACAAGCUGGGUGUUUGGGAACACACUCAGGGAAGUGGCCUGCCCGGGGGUUCUUUGUUCCCUGAUCUAACACGUGACAGGAUCUUGACCCUGGGAGACUCUUCAUCUUGAAAGAAGGAGUGUGGCUGGAGGACUGAGCAGGGCCCUCCAAAGUCUGGAGGCCAAGUCUGAGGACUCUACUGCUGUGGGUUAAACAUAACCAGCUUCUGCGUUUGGAACCCAGUAGUUUCAGUCUAGUGGUUGUGUUAACCCGUGUGACUUCAGCCAUUUAACCUUAAAUGGUGUAAACAUCAUCAUGAUCUGAGAGUUGAGUGGAAGUCAUGGUCAUCAUCUCAUCAGGUUUGAGUUCUUUCAUGAAGUCCCUACAGCUGUGAAAUUGCCUAGGAGAAUUGCAGGUUGUGUUAAGCAAUCAAAGAAUUGGUCGUUUGGCUUCUGUAAGCAAAAUCCUGAAGCUCUUUGGGGGAAACGAAAUACAAAAUAUAACUGAUAAGAAAUGAGCUGAAAAAGAGUCAAAAGUUUCUGGGGAAACAGAUUGCACUGCAGCUUGUUUCUAAAAGCGAUGUGAAAAUACUGAACAUAAGAGCACGAACAGAAAUGCUAUGCUAGUUUUCAAAAUAAAAUUUCCAAAUGAGAAAGUUCUCCAUGUUUGCAAAGGUAUUUGGAAGCAGUAAUGUUUUUGUGCAUAGUUGAGUUAAUCAGAGUAAGAUGAAUUUUCUCUCAAGAGCUUUUCAAGUAAAGUGCACUGGUCAACCUCUAGUGUUUUCUUUGCCUCAGACUGUAGUUCUGUUGCUGUCAGCUUAAAGUAUGAUCUUUUUGGAAACUAAUUCUUCAUAGGUUAAAGUGCCUUUGUGUGCAGCACACAGUAGGAGGCAGCAUUUAUGAUUCAGUGUGAAUGGAUGGUUUCUGAAAUCAAAGGCUUGGUUCUUCCUCCUGGCCUUGCCACUUCCUGGCUACCUGUGUGACCUUGUGCAGGUUACCUAGCCUGUUAAGAAGUGCUCAGUUUCUCCUCUAUAAAAUGCACUGAAUAAUAAUAUAAUAAUAAUAAUAAUAAUGCCAGUGUUACAGGGUGAAUAUAAGGUUUGAGAAGUAUGGGAGAAGGGCUUAGCAUAUGGCACAUGUUCAGUAAGCUGACACUGUUGGUCAUCAUCAGCUCACCUGAGAAAGAAAGGCUGGCAGGUUUUUAUAAAGGCCACACUUUGUGGUAGAAGAACCUCUCCAGGAGGGCCCGUGCAAACUCCACAGGCUGCAAGGAAAAUUUCCCUGUGGAUGACCGGCCGUCUGGAGCUUACCUGUUACAGUGAAGCAGGUAAAGCCUCGAAGUGCAGCUCUGAGGGCUGUGCCAGCUCCUGUGGUUGCUGUCCUGGGUGGCAGGUUGUAGCCCUCGUCCAUCUGUAGAGGGUCCUGUGUAACCCAAGUCCCUGAUGUGAUUUAUUGCUUAUCCAUGCAGUGGUUUUGAGGGAAAAUCUGGUGUUUCUUUUUCUCUAAAUGAACAGUGCACAACCUCAAAAAAUAGGAGAAAAGCGUGAGAAGGAAAAUUAUUUCUGUUUCUAAAUGCACUAGUCAUCACAUUUCCCAGCUAACUUGUGACUGUCAUUAUUUUUAGUGAUUUAUGCAUAAAUAGUCUCCCUUGGGAAUAAUCAAUCAACUCUACUGGCCUUACACGUAGGUGGGGGGAAUUCCAGAUCAUAGCAGGCUCAUCAAGUAGUGCCUGGAGAGGGGUUAGGACUGCUUGUGGAGCAGGCAGCAGACUUCACUGGGUGCCAUUCCCAUGUGAGCUCUACCCUGGCACCUUCUCCAGUUGGGGCCUAGAUGACCCCCACCCCUGCCCCCACGCAAGAGUCUGACCUUUCAACAAAGUAGAGGCACCUCCCUGCGCCCUCCUCUUCCUCCAGCCUCUGUUUUACCUUUGUAAGAAGAGAGGCAGUGACAUCCAGGGUGCCAGGGGGCUCUGAGAAUGAGGUGAGAGGCAUCUAGCAUGGGACUGCCCAGAGCUGUCAUCUCCCCAGCCUAUGGUGGUAGAGAGGUAGACAGUUUCCCUUGUCUCAGUGAGACAGCAGGGAAAAAUCAGUAAGGACAGUUCCCAGAAUUCCUGGACAGGCACAAUUUCAGCACUUUUGCUCUAACUCAUCCCCAUAAAGGUACUUUAAAGUUGUCAACUGUUUUCUUUAUCAUUCUUAGUGUUGAAAAAAAUAACCCCUGAGUUUCCAUUUACUUGUCCAUCAAAUGAGGAGACCAGUUCCCCCUCCUAAGGUGACUGUAUAAGGUGGCAGUGAUGCAGGUGAGGGUCUGUGUAAUUCUCACACAUGCAGUCACGGUAGCUGGAAGGGGCUGAAGGGACUAUGACAUCCUGCUUCGACCUGGAAAUUUCGAUGCUGAGCACAUGUUAAGGAAGGGAACGAAGCCCAUCCCAAAGUACAAAGCAAACAUGUCCUUCCUGACAUGGCAUAGCACCGGUGCUCUUCCUUAGUAAGUGUGAUCAUUAGGCCCUUUCCUGUGCAGCAGUCACAAACAAGUCUGCAGGGCCUGAGGUCACAGAGGGGCAGGCUUCAAAGGGAGGGCCGUGAGCCCUCAGCGAUGGGUCCUCGGACACCCAGCCCCACAGAUCCACGCAGGUCUCUGGGCGUCCUGUUCUUCGUGCUGGUGAACUCUGCAUUCCCUUUCCACAGUGGUGCAGCCUGAAAUUGCACUUUGUGUAGAGGCACACUGGAUUUAAGGUGCAUGCCCCUUGCUCUCCCCACUGACAGCCAGUGCUGUUUGACUUGGUGCUGGCCCCUAUUUCUGAACUGGGCCUUGAAUGUAGUAGGCAUUCAACAAGUGCCAACUGGAGGACUGUCACUGAUGUCACGGGUGUCCUUGUGUACACGUCCCCAGCUCACUAAAUACCAUAUUUCUUGGGGCAGUCAGUUGGCCCAAUGGUUAAGCCGCUGAUUAGGGUGGGUUUGAUGCUCACCUCUGGUUCCUGAUUCCAGCUUCCUGCUAAUGUAGACCUUGGGAGGCAGUGAUAAUGGCUUAAGUGAUAGGGUUCCUGCUACCCAUGUGGAAAACCUGGAUUGAGUCCCCAGUUCCGGCCCUUGCAUCUUCGCCUACCUGGCCAUUGCAGGCAUUUUGGGCUUGGACCAGCAUAUGGGAACUCUUGUCUCUGUCCUUCUGUCUCUCCUUCACAUGAAUAAAUAAUAAGAAAAGAAUUUUCGAGACUAUAUGUCUUGAUCUAACCACAGGAACCCCAGCCCCUCUUACCCUACACAAUACAGCUCUUCUUUGUGGCACCACUUAAGCUUAAGGAGGGGCUGCCAACUUCCAGCUUCCAUGGCUUCACCACAGGAGACUGGCUGGACAGCCACUCAGGUGCCUGAGGACUUCUGGUUGAUGCGAGCCUUCAGCAGAAGAGUCGGGCUUUGCCCUGUAUGCCUAGAGCCUGUGCCUGGCAGGUGCACCCUGGUGAUGGGACUGCACCUGAGGCUCGAUGCCUUAGUAGUGAGUAAAGUGAGGGCUUUCUGAGGAUUGCAGGGGCUUGGGAAUUUAGGUACAACGUAUGAAUGCUGGAGCAUUUUCUCCAUGGAGUCUACACCUGGCAGCACAGCUGUGCUGGAUUCAAAGGCUUCUUCUCUUUUUCCCUAGCUUAGGGGUGUAUUGUUAGAGCCCUGCUCCCUGCCCACCAGAGAGCUCAGAGCUUUGGGGUUGGCCUCUGACUGUGGCACUGUUGCCUCCCUCUCAGUCUUCCCAGUGUCUUUAGAGCCUCAGAGUUUCUGGUGACUUGAAGGUUCUGAGCUUCCUGCUGAGGCCAGGGCUAUGCUGCACACGCAGCUCUCAGAGGGUCCCCGUCAGAGGGCUGGUGCCAAGUGCUAGGCCCUUCAUGCUGGCGGUGACUGCAGGAGAUGGUAAUGCAGGGGGCAUAGGGGGCUUCCCUGUCCUCAUGGGGAGGGCUUUGGUUACAGAAGUCUCGGUUCUGUGCCCCUAAAGCUCUCUCCUCCCGGUCCUGAGAGGAGCUCCUUAGGACUGUGCGUAUUCCCGAUCUGGGACUGCCAGCAGUUGCUCCCACUUCCCCAGGCACCUUUGCAUUUAGUGAUCGUGGCUGGAGGUGACUGCCAUGCUGUGGAGGACAUUUGCAUGGAGCCUCACCCAGAGCACACAGGCUUGCCUGCCUGCCCGCCCCUUGUCUGUUACAUGGUUCCGGCAGAAUGGACCUCACCUGCAGCUCCAUGGUGGGCCCAAGAUUGGCACAAGCCAGACAGUUGUGUCUGCCAUGGUUGGUGACGACUGCCUCCUGCCUGGUCAGAGCCAGUGAGCCACAGGUCUAUCAUGGGAAUUCUGGAAAAGUAAAGCUUUCUCCUUUGCAGAAGUUUUUAGAAGAGAAUCUUCCAGCAUUGUGGGGCUGUGAAGUCUGUAGCUAUGGAAGGAGUUUCCUUUCCUAGGGAAGCUACUGAUGUGCGGGGCUGGUCUCUGGAGCCAAUAACUACGCUAGUGGGAGGCAGAUAUGACGGUGCUAUCCAAGCUGCUAGGAUAAGACUUAGUUAUGUGAGCCCUGAGUCCCCUCAGCCCCCCACCCUCUUGCUUAGGAGCCAGCUUUACUGUUGUUUCUUGGAACAUGGUAACCAGAUGUGAAGACCCUUCCUGUAGUGAAUUGUUGAGGGCUUUCCUGCAAGGUCUUCCCCGAGUCCCUUCUCAAGGCUGAGUAUCAGCACCUGUGGGACCAGGCCUCAUCCCUUGACCCGGAGUGUGACUCCUACCUUGUGUCCACAGGGCUCACCAGGCCAGAGUCAGCUCCUGAGGCAGGGCCCAGAAGCAGUACCUAGAAAGGAACAGUGAAUUGGAAUGGAUCCAUGGAUGUUCUCAGAGCAGUGGCCCUGCCUAUGGUGGGUCCCAGGACAGAUAGAUGUAUGCUGCUAGGCUGUGUGUGUGUGUGUGUGUGUGUGGUCCAAGUCUGUCUUGUCUGGGAGAGGCUGGGGUAUAGUUGGAGGUAUAACUUUUCCUAAACUGGGUCAGCAACCAGCAAGAGGUAGUCUCUGCCUAUUUUGCUUUGUGAUGCUCUUGCCACUGUGGUGCGAAGAGCCCCCAAAGCCCCUCUCCUGUCACAUCCUGUGAUUGGAUGGAUGAUCUCACGCAGAGCAGUUCUGCAGCAGUCAGAGCUCAGCCCAGGGCCGGAGCCAUGCUCAGAAGCGCUGUCUUUAUGAUGCACAUGGGCUUUUGAUCUUGUGGCUUUUGGUUUGUGGUUGUGGACUGAGAAAAUUGCUUCCUGGGUUUAUAAGGACAGUAGGGUAAAUGACCCUCCUGCCACCACUUAUUCAGUGAUGGUUUCCUGGGGUAGGUGCUUGGGGAUGGAGGUGAGUGAAAGCAGAGUUUUGGUGGUUAAUUGGAAGAGUACAUCAUAGCAUAUGUGGCUAAUCCCUGCCUGGCAUUGUCAUUAUUAGGAUCCUAGAAAGGUGACAGUUAAAAGAGCACUUAACAGUCUUCUGGUGACCAGGGAGAUGGGAGUGGUCGGCAUGUCUCUCUCCAUCCUGUAGGGUCUCUCAGCCUUCUGUGGAUGCCAGAUCUGUGAUAAAUAUCAGGGAUAGUGGAGGGACACACACACCCCGACAUGGGCUUUUAAGAAAUGAUUUUCUUAAGUAAUUCUUAAAUAAUUCAGAAUUAAUAGUGGUAUUCAGUCAUUGUCUUAAUCUAGUGUAUACUAUGAAACUUAGAGAAUUUGUCAAGAGAAAGCUUAACCCAGGAACUGCUGGCAGCUCCCAGGUUUUCUGGAGCUUCUUUGUAAGUAUGAAUCCACUGACUUCAGCAUUCACUCACUUGCUGUCUUUGGGGAAGUGGUGGCUGAGCUAGAGAAUCUCGUUGGCUGGGCUUCAGAAUAAGCCAUCCCUCUACCCACUGAGUAUUUAAAAAUAUAUAUAUUAUAUAUAUAUAUUAUAUAUAUAUAUAGGUUUAUUUAUUUCAAAAGCAGAGUUAAAGACAUGCACACAGAGAUCUUCCAUCUACUGAUUCACUCCCCAAAUGGCCUCAACAGCCAGAGCUUGUUCAGUCUUAAGCCAGGAACCAGAGCUUCUUCCACUUCUCCAACAUGGAUACAGGGUCCCCAGCACUUGGACCAUCUUCCAGUGCUUUUCCAGGCCAUUAGCAGAGAGCUGGAUUGGAAGAAGAGCAGCCAGGAUUCCAACCAGUGCCCAUAUGGGAUGUUGGCACCACUUACCCACUGCACUGCAGCGUCAGCCUCAACCCAGUGGGUUUUUAAAUGCAGGAAGAGUCCAGUAGGAAGAUGCCCUUUCUAAAGGUGCCUGGCCAGGACAGGAAGAAGGGGCUAAUGUGUAGGAGCCUGGUAUACUGGAAGAGGUCUGUGGCUAGUGACCAUGAUGUUCUGCACCAACACUCAGAGCACAAGGUCUUUCUACAUAGGGCGAGCACUUACGGGCAGAGUAGCUGGAGUCCCAGUGCUUCUGGUGAAGCUCAGUCGGUGGCUGUGCUGGACAGACAUGGUGCGGGGGGAGCAGGCAGACCUCACUGCUGGAGUGCCUAGAGGGAGGGGAGCAUUCUGCGGAGCAAGCUUGCAGUGCUGAGAAGCAUGACAGAGUAGCAGAGGGAGCUGGAGCAAGUGGGACCAGCUCCUUCCCCUGGGGGUGCUCGGGAGUUAGGUGGAGGAUGCCACAGAAUCUUGCUGGGUGUUUCUUUGCCCUGUGAAACUAGGGAAAUGCGGUCUUUGAAUAACCAUUGAGAGAGCAGUCUCAGAGGGCUUUAGGGGAGUCAGAUCAGGGGUUAGGGUGCAGGAGAAGGAUGCACUGGAGCUCACCGUCUGCCCUUCCCAAAGCCCAUGUGGACUGUUUGGGGAAAGAAUAUUUCCCAUAGUGUGUGUGUGUGUGUGUGUGUGUUUCAUUUUGUAUAGCAGCAUGUUUAAUCAGCAGUGUGAUAGUAAAAUUCAGAACGUUCUAGAAAUGAAGCAUGAGGAGCCCAGAGGCCUGUCUGCAAGAGCUGUGUGAUAUGUAAAUCACUGAACUUCUCUGUACCUCAGCGUGUGCCUUUGUGCAAGGCUGGGUGAGAUGGAAUCCAUGGGGCACACUUGGCUUGUGGUUGCUACUGUCUCUGUCAGCUUUUGGGGACCAGGGCUGGGGGAGACAACAUGUUGAGUUACAGGUUCACCUAUCUCCAGAUUGUUUUGGAUUUAAUUGUACAUCAUGUCUUUUUUUUUUAAUUUACUUGGUUUAUUUGAAGGGCAGAGAGUAAGAGACAGAGCGAGCUUGACUUGCUAUAUGCUGGUUCACUUCCCAAAUGCCUACAAUGACUGGGACUCGAGAGCCAGGAAUCCAGUUUGAGUCUCCCAUGUGGGUGGCAGAGGUCCAACUGUUUGAGCCAUUGCCACUGCCUCCCAGGGUCUGCAUUAGCAGGAAGCUUGGAUUAAGGAGCCAGAGGUGGGUAUUAAACUCAGUCUGACGUGCAACACAGGCAUUGUAACGGCUAGGCCAAAUGCCUGCCGCCUGAGUCAUUUCUGAAGGUGGAGGAAAGGGGGGUGGGGUCCAGCCUGGAGCUGAUUGCUUUGGACACAGGUUGGAAGGUACUGACCACAAGGCUCAGGCCGUGAACAAGUGCGACAAGGAGGGUACUUCUUUCCCCAUUGGCACUGUAUCCAGGCUCUCGACAGUCUGACUGGAACAAGCAAGCUGUUGUGGGAGCCUGUCCUCAUUCUCUUUACCUCCUGCUUGCUGCGUACCACCCUUGCUGGUCACCAGGGCUGCCAUGUGGGAGGCGUGUGGAGUGGCCCCUCAGACAGUGGAUGGCAUUGUUUGUGCUCUGGGGAAGGAGGGGGUCUGGCAGAGGCUGGGGACCAUGCCACGUUCAGAUUGGAAUAGAGGCCUUGGGGGCUGGGGUGCCCCAGGAGUACGUGUGAGCUGCCAUCUUCCAUGCACGGUAUCCUGGGCCAUCGGCCGUGGAGGACUGCUGCUCCCACUCUGGCUCUUGAAAACAGUUUGUUUCUUUUAAAUCAGAUGUGUCCCUAGCCAGUGGGAGCCUUUAGAAACCAUGGAAGUGUGUGAGUGGCCUUUGACCAGCACUGAAGAUGGUAAGUGGGACCCUUGAUCCUGGAAACCCUGCUGGUUUGUCUAGGGAAGUUCCUAGAAGAGGACCUCUGUGCCUGGGCCAGGAGGGUGCUUGUGGCCUCAGGGAGACUUAAGGAAGGGCUUGUCCUUGUUGAGGAUGCCAGGCUUCUGCUCCGGUCUCAUGGAAGGGAAGACCAGACGAGGAAUGAUUUUGAGGUCUAGCAGGAGAAGCACCUCACAGGCCUGGGGAAUCUUUGCACUUGGCUCUAAUCCUCUUUCAGCAAGAAGGGGUAGGAAGCAUGUCACACAGUGAGUGACAGAGCCUGCAAUGCUGGCCUCAAGUCCAUAUUGUGUCACAGCAGUGUCAGUGUGUGCAUGUGUCCCCCCACCAGUGAGUGCUGCCUGCACGUGGGCACGGCGCAUGUUUUUUUUCUUUUUCUUUUUUCUUUUCGUUCCUCUCGGGAACAGGCACCUAGUGCAGGCUGGGCCCCGUAAUGGUUGCUGAGUAAGUGCUUAAUGGAGAUGGCGCUGCUGAUAAGCCACAGUCAAAAGGGAGAGAGCAGGCGAGCCAGCCAACAUCAAAGCUGGGCUUUGUUUGUGUAUAGGGCUGGGCUUUGCUCUGCAGGCCCCAGCGCCAUGUCCUCGAAUUGCAGAGAGGGUGCAUUGUGUUAGUGUGGGUCUCAAGAGACAGAGUCCGUAGAUGUACAUGUAAGUACCCGACGGGGCGUGUGUCAGCGGGCUUGGCUAGCACAGCCACAGCAGCCAGCAAGUCCUGAGACAGGUGGUUUGCAGCCUGGAGAGCCCAGGUGGCAUGCAUGGCUCGGGGCAGGUCCCAGGGCCCCCGAACUACAGACGCUGAGGGCCUAACUCUCAGUCUCAGGCUGAAAGCCCGAGAGUCUGGGGGCUGCUGGUGUGAGUCCUGGUUUCCAAGGCCCGUAGCUCUGUGGUUCCGUGUCCAAGGCAGGAGAUGUGUGAACGAGUCCCAGCGCUCAGCGCUGGACACCAGUUCACCUUCGUGUUCAGUCUCUCCAGGACUGCAGCCUACUGGUGGUGCUGCCACAUGAAGGCCAGGUCUUCCCUCCUAACUCGCUCAGUCACGUGCUAGUCUUGUUUGGAAACAUCCUCACACACACAGCCCAGACGGUGCUUUUCUGUCUUCUUGGUAUUCUUUCAUCCCCUCAGGUAGACCCCUGAAGUUGACCACAGAGGGUGAGUUCAAAAUGGAAGCUGCUUUUCUCCCCUGUUAGUUAGAAGACAGGCCUGCCUGCCUGCCUGCCCAGAUAGCAAAGCCAUCCCCCUUUGGUGGUGGAGACCCUCGAAGAAGAGAGUGAGCCCCCUCCCACCCCUGGAAUCACAGCACUCUCCUUGCCUCAGUGGUUUCCAUUUAGUGUUCUUCGAAAUACCAUGGUGGUGAGACAUGUAAAAUCAUUCAGCGGAGAUUAAGAGGUCCACGAAAUGUACAAAAUGUAAAAUGCACUUCAGUGGCCCAUGUGUGUUUUGCCUGCCUCUGUAAUUAAGACUGGACAUGGACAUGAUGUCCUACCCUGUAACAAGUGUUCCAGGUGAAACACUCGGCUAACAAUGACCAAGUAAUUAGUAGUUUCAGCAAUUGGGUGGUAAUUGAGCUAAGUUAUCAUCCAGGCAGAGGCAUGGAGACAGUUUUAAAGGGGGUCUGUAUGUGUUUGUAUCUGCCAAUGUGUGUUACUUGUAUAGAUAGGACGUAGAUGAGGCCAAAGGGCAAAGAAGAAAAGUUCUGAUGUAGUUUUAGCACAAGGCACUUAAAAGAGCAGGUGUUGGCAACACCAAUGUGUAUAAGCUUUUCUCUUACCUUUUUAAAAAUGAGUGAAUUCUUGUUAAUGCACUGGCUCUGGGGAAAAAGGAACGUCGCAAGUUAAGGUCACAAGUGUGACAUAAACGUAAUCCUUGCAAAUCACUUGUUGCAGGACUCCAGGUUUUGAUUUGCCCCUGACUGAAGGUUUCUGUUUCUCAGAGUUUGGAGAGCUCUUAGGAACCCAAGCAGGACGUCGGUUGAGGCUGAGCAGCCUAGGGACUACCUGUCUUCUCCUCUCUGAUGGGCAGCUGCUGACACACUGAUGCCAGUGUCUCGUGAGCCAUGCCCCGUUGCACCAGGCUGCCCUUGGGUGGUGCUUUAAGUUAGCCCAGCCCCAGUGCACCCAUGUCCUCCUUUUGACUACAUGGGUGUCAGACUGCCCACCUUGCCGCCACCAUCUCUCAUUCCGGUGCGUGUGGGACCACAUUCUCCAUAGGCUGUCUGGGAACCCCCGAGGGGUUUUGGAAAAACACCAUGAGGAUGGUUUCCUUACACAUGGUCCGGUUUUCAGGACACUUGAGCCAAGAUUGUUGGGCAUUUUCCCUGAAGCCCCUUUUGUUCUGCUCAUUUAUUUUCCAGGGGAUUUCAGGUUUUGUUGGAUGAUUUAUCUCGCUCAAAACUGGUAUCCAGUGCUGAGUGCUGGGAUUCACACAUGUGACUCCUGCCUUGGACUCGGAACCACAGAGCUGCGGGGCCUGGGAAGCCAGGACUCACACCAGCAGCCCCAGACUCUCAAGACCGAGAGUUAGGCCCUGGGACCUGCCCCGAGCCAUGCAUGCCGCCUGGGCUUUCCAGGCUGCAGACCACCUGUCUUGGGACUUGUUGGCUGCUGUGGCUGUGCUAGCCAAGUCCGCUGACACACGCCCCCAUUGGGUACCUACAGGCACAUCUACGAAUUCUGUCUCUCCAGACUCAGACUAACACAGUGCGCCCUCUCUGCAAUGCGAGGACAUGGCAUUAGAGCCGUAUACACAAAUGAAGCCCAGCUUUGAUGUAGCCCGUUUCGGUGUUGUUGUAGUGGCUACCAAGCCCUGUGGCCCUGUGUGAUUGACAGCGCUUGGUUUAUUGGGGGCAUUUCCAUGUUAGUGCUGUGGGCUGGUGCAAGAAAGAGGAGGAAUUGAAUUCCUGCACUCAAUGCCAGCUGCAAGUGAGAGGGAGAAUUUGCACCCUGAGGCCAGUUGUUGAUUGGGGAAAGUGAUGUCAAGAUGAGCGUGACCUGGCUUCUGCUCUUGAAAUGCCCAGUUUAGUGGUGGAGACAGAGCGGGACCCACAUCACUGCAGUAUUUUAACCAGAAAGUGGAGAACCUGGAGCUGCUAUGCUCCCCUCUCUUCUUCAAGAUGCUCCCUCUGGCUGUCAGGACAGCCUCGCCAGCGGCCCACGAGCUUGGAAGGGUGUUGGUUCCCACGUCUGGUGCACACUUCCCCCCACACCUGGGUGACGUUUAUGCGCCCUGCGUGAUUUGAGAGAAGCACCCAUCGUGUCCACCAGUGGCCCAUCAGCCAUGCCUCAGGCCAAGUGCUCUGUGGGUCCACACCACUCCGGACACUCUGGUCCUUUUCAGGCCUUGCCCUGUUUCAACUGCAUUGUGUUCUCCGCCAUGCUGACACUCAUACGCUGUCAGCCCUCAAAACCAGACAUUAUAGUCAACCGUUAACGUUUUUGGAAUAAAAACACAGCAGAGCAGGGAUGCUUGAAAUCAUUUUUCCGUUGUCUAGAAAUUAGCAAAUUUUACCUGUGGCGAGGAUGGGGUACCUUCGUACUGUGAUCAGAUCCAUCUAGCCAGAAGGGGGCUAGAUUGCUGGCCCUGAGAUUUUCCUGUGCUUGUUUAUGGAGAGAGGCUGGCAUGGUUGUGGGUUUGCUGCACCUUACUGUUGUCAUCUGCUGGAUGUAAGCGUCUUCCCUCUGAACCCACAUCGGUCACAUGCUGCGUUCUGUGCCUGUGGGUGCCGGGCCUCUUCAGAACAGUCGCCUUCACCAUACAUAUGCCUCCCAGAAACGAGUUCUUGAUGCCCCCCAAAUGAAUUAUGAAAAGCUUUUCAUAGUAAUAUAAUUGAUACACUGUUGGCCACACUUAUAAAAAAAUCAAUGUAACGCAUCCAUAUUUCAUGAGUGCCCACGUUGCCAGCUCCUUGUGAUGGGACCAAGCUAUGAAGAAUGAGGAUUGUUUGACUGUAGCCUCUUGCAUAUGGACACAGUGCCAAGAAAGAGAGUUCGGGGUUGACUUGAAAGUUUCAAGUGCAGCAGGGCCAUUGAGAAACAAUCCUCUGACUCAUGUCAGAUUGUUAUAAUUAUUUAAUGCCCACAAUGCCUCCUUGUCCCCACGGAUUUAUACUGGAGAGGUUUCUUCCCCACACAUUGUGGUUGUUCGCUGCAAAGAAAGCGGCAUUUGUUUAUAAUGACAUGGGGUGUAUCUGUAUGGCAAAGAAAACACUGCAGAUCCUGUCUUACGAAGGAGGCAGGAAUUUGGCCGACGACCUAUAGGAAAUGGGGAGAUGUGCUGUCAUUGCUUGUCAUAGAUGGGGGCUGUUGCAUCCAAUAACCAUUAAACACCUUUUGCUUGUAACCUCUGUCCCAUAGCCUCGUUAGGGUGAGUUUGACUGCUCCCUUGCCGUCUGUGUUGCACAGCUGGUGUGCCGGGGCACAGGCCUGCUGACACCUCACCUGUCUGCUAGAACUCCUUUCUCUGGGUUCUGCGCCCUGCCCCUGUUCCAGGUGGCUUCACCAAGCAGCAUUGUCUCUGGAGCCACUGUGAAUGUUUUCCUGCAGAGCACUUGCGUGUUUGAACAGUUCUCAUGUAGCUGAAUCUGAUUGUACUCUUUGAGAGAAAACUGGAAUUUUUCAGAGACAAAAAACAAGAUGGAGGAAAGAAGGCAUUGGAGCCUCUCAGGGGGCUGUGUCUGGUGUGGAGAUCAGCAGCCAUGCUAAUGACCAAGGGCAGGGGGCCCAGCCCCUGGGGAGGUGAAGGCCCUGCCAGUGGGAGGGAGCCGGCAAGUCCAGUGCCUCAGAACUGCCCCUCUGUCUGUGCCUUCCUGGGACACCCUCCCCCUGUUCCCUGACACACAGCUCUCAUAAUUGCCUUCGCUGUCAAAUGAGGUUCAAUAUCAAUGGGUUUCUCAAGCUUAGAGGGCGACAGGGAGACAUUGAGCCAGAGUUGUGUGAAAUUGUCCGGAGGCGCUCACAGGCUGGGGUGUGCAGAUGCAACUCAUAAUUGCACCGGAAAUGCUUGCAACCUUUGUCAUCUUUGGUGGUGGAAAUGAGAAAAUCUAUGUGAGCCAGCUUAGUGCUGACUUGGGACCCAUACUCAGGGACUGGAUCCUCUUGGGUUUUGCAGAACUACAAUUAGAAAGCAGACACAGAACAUGGGCCACAGACAGUGCAUUUUUGAACCUUAAAUUGGGGCUCAUGGAAUGUUCAAGGGUUUUUGUUCUUGCUACUCUCUGGUUCUGCAAGAAGUCUCGAAGUCUGUAAGAACUUGGAAGCUUUGGUAGUUUUGGAGGCCAGAGGACCUGUGCUUCAGAAUUGGAGUUGUCCUGGAAAAUCUGGAACGUGUGCUGACUGAAAUUCACAUAGUGGGAUACUGAGAGGGAUGCAAAUAAUGAGCCUAUUAAGAGAAAAGUUUGCAUUUAAUCAUCUUCCUCUUGUACUAGUGACUGGGCAGUGCCAUCGUCACCAUUUACUCCGGUGCUUGUACAGAGGUGAUUUCUUUUCAGUUAAAGUUUUGGGGCCAUUGUGUGGCACAGUGGAUUAGGCUGCUGUCUACGAUGCUGGCAUCCUGUAUCACAGUGCCAGUUUGAGUCUUGGCUGCUCUGCUUCCCACCUGGCUCCCUGAUAAUGUACCUGGGAAAGCAGAAGAUGGCCCAAGUCCUUGGAAUGGAGUUCUUGGCUCCUGGCUUCGACCUGGCCAUUGCAGCUGUUUGGGGAGAGAACCAGAAUAUUAGAGAUUCUCUCUUUCUCUCUCUUUUCACUCUGCAUUCCAAACGAAUUUUAAAAAUCUAGAAAAUAAAAUUAAAUAAAAAUUUUAUAAAACUAGUAUUUAUUCUGUAAUUCUUUAGUAGUACAUUUAUGUCAUAGACACUUCCAUGGGUGUGUGUUGUAUUUUCCAGUUCAAAAAACUUUAUAAAGCAGUCUCAGUGUAUGGUGUGUAGGCCCCAUUUUAACCCAUUUGAAAUGAUGGGGUAACAACACAUGCAAGGCUUCCUGAUGUUCCUGUGGUGGAUGGACUCUGCGGCUUCUCUUUUCUUACCCUGCGAGCCCCUUGGGGGUGGGGCAGCUUCUCUCUCUUCCUGGAAUUAGGGAGCUGCCGGAGUGGCGGGUCAGGGAGGGUUCUGUGCGCUGUGCUGUGGCGUGUGCACACACGGGGCAGAGGUCUGAGGUGGGAAAGUAUGUGUGGGGCCUGUGAUGCGACCGGACUUGAAUUGGAGGAUGCUCAAAGCUCUUGUCCUGUGGUGAUUUUCUUCAGCCCAUAAGACACUGCUGCUCUGGGGGAGUGGGAAGUGGCUUCAUCCCACAGCAUCAUCAUAGCUGUGCAGCCCAAGAGCUGUAGGCGCCUGCCCUUGCCCUGUCUACCCAGGGGGCGUCGGCAGAUUGGGUCUCCAACAGUACUUUGUUCCCUGAGAAGAAAGGCGCAGUUGUUUUUCCUUUCUUCUUCUCCCGCCCCCAAAGCGUCCUCCUUCUCACCCAAACCAUGAUCUCAGACCUUAGGAGUUAACAAAUCAGACUUGUCCCAGAGAUUGUUUGAGAUCAGUUGUCUACAGUAGUGAUGAAAUCAAAACACUCUAGAAGACAACUUUGGAGUAGGAACUUGCCAGGGUCGUUAGACGUGCUUGGGUUGAGAGAGGAAAAGCGAUUAUGUGAGAAAAGCAGAAUACAAAGUAGUGCCUAUUCCACAAUCCUGCCUACUCUGUCGGGGGAUAAGGACUAUGAGGGAACUCAGACCAAUGGAAAUCCUGGGUUUAUUUGAUCUGUGUCGGACUGUGAGAGCCGUAUUCCCAAAUUGAAAACACUCUGUGAUUUUGUUGUACCAUUGAACUUAAUCUGAAAUGGCCAGAAAUCAAUCUGGACCUCAAGCUGGCACCCCAGGAAGGUAAUCUAUCUAUACCCCAUCUGCCCUAACUUCAGGGGGCCGCUGGCUGAGAAAGGGCUUUAAGGAAGCAAAGCGUUUAUAGCCUGCUGGGGCCCUGUACCACUCUGUAUUCUUGUUGAGCCUUUGCAUUGGUCUGUCUGCUGGCCUGUUUGCCCUCAACAGGGCAGGUGGAUCCCCCUGCUGUCCAAGUCUUCAGGAGACAGAGCACCUGCUCUCCCAUUUACCGUUCCUCUGUUGCAUCCAAGACCCGUUUCUCGUUAGGACUCCUUGUUUCAGGGCUGCAGCGUGACAAGCCAUUCAGUAGAAAUGUCUGAGAUGCUGCUUUCUCUGUUUAUUUGCUAGGGAGACAGACAGAGAGCUCCCAUCUACUAAUAACCAUGAAGGCUGGCCCUGGGCUGGAGCUCAGAGCCAGGAGCUCAAUCCAGGUCUUCUAUGUGGGUGGCAGGAACCCAGUGUCUGAGUUAUCACUGCUGCCUCCCAGAAUGGGCAUUAGCAGGAAGCUGGAGGCAGGAGCUGGAGCUGGGAAUCAAACCUCAGCACCUCUUACCCAGAGGGCCAAAUGCCUGCUUGAGAUACUACUGUGGAAGCAUAGGAUUCUUCCAGAUUGCUGACUUGCACCUCCCCCUUUUUU